rnacentral:lncRNA from 1 species
AGCGGAAACUCUGGGAGGAAAGGAAGAAGAUGAAACGAGCUGCCAAAAAGAAGCAAAUUGUGGUAGUGCAUGCCGCAAUAACCCCUGCUGCUGCUACUACUGCUCCGGUGGGACAGUAUGCUGGAAUUUUGCCCAAGUGCAACAAAUGCAACUACCACCACAAUGGCCCCUGCCAUGAAAUGCAGUGCUCUAACAGCCACAGGAGAGGACACACCAUCCGUUUCUGUAAGUUCCCGGCACAAACCAAUCGCCCAAGUCCCCGGCUCUGGCGCGAGCCCGACCUGCUACGGAUGUGGCGAAACAGGCCACUAUAAGAGGGACUGCCCUAAAGCGAAGAAUGCUGGAGGAGCAGGGAGGGUACUAGCUAUAGGCCACGGGGAAGCAGUUGCUGACCCGAUAGUGGUGACUGGUAUGUUCCUCCUCGAUAACUCCUAUGCAUGCAUUCUGUUCGAUAGUGGAGCGGAGCGAAGCUUCGUAAACCACAAAUUUGCUCGCAUGCUUAAACAACAACCACACACACUCAAAGAACAAUUCACAGUAGAAAUGGCUAAUGGAAAAACUAAAAGUACGAAUAGCAUAUACUUAGGUUGUACCCUAACUCUAGAUAACCAUUCAUUCCCAGUCGACCUCAUGCCGGUCUCAAUAAAAAGCUUCGACGUUAUUAUCGGCAUGGAUUGGUUAAGUCUUCAUUGUGCCGACAUCAUGUUUUACGACAAAGCAGUCCGUCUAAACCUCCCGUCUAACGAAACUCUUAUAGUCUACAACGACAAACCCGGUGCGAAUCUUUGUAUUAUAUCAAGUAUUCAAGCACAUAAAUAUAUGUGCAAGGAAUACCACGCAUUCCUUGCUCACGUCGUCGACACGAGCCUCGAAACGAAAGAACUAAAGAACAUCCCAGUAGUGAACGACUUCCCCGACAUUUUCCUAGAAGAGCUACCUGGAUUACCUCCGCAAUGACAGGUCAAGUUCAGAAUUGACUUAGUCCCAGGGGCUACCCCAGUAGCCAAGUUGCCCUACCACUUAGCACCAGCUGAGAUGCAGGAACUCUCUGGUCAACUUAACGAACUGCUCAGCAAGGGCUUUUAUAAGACCAAGUUUCUCACCUUGGGGAGCACCGGUCUUGUUCGUUAAGAAGAAAGACGGAUCAUUCCGCAUGUGUAUCGACUACAGACAACUCAACAAACUGACGGUCAAGAAUCGUUACCCUCUGCAUCGCAUUGACGAUCUAUUUGACCAACUGCAAGAGGCGAACUAUUUUUCCAAAAUUGAUCUGAGAUCCGGAGAUCACCAGUUACGAGUACUAGAGGAGAAUGUGCCAAAGACAGCCUUCCGAACUCGUUACGGACACUACGAGUUCGUGGUGAUGCCAUUCGGAUUGACCAAUGCGCCCGCAGUCUUCAUGGAUAUGAAGAAUAGAGUAUGCCGACCUUACUUGGAUCAUUUCGUCAUUGUUUUCAUUGACGACAUCCUGAUCUACUCCUGAAGUAAGGAAGAACAUGGCGAUCACCUGCGACAAGUUCUAGGGACAUUACGAAAGGAGAAACUUUAUGCGAAGUUCUCGAAAUGUGAAUUUUGGAUCCGAAGAGUCGAAUUUUUAGGACACGUGGUAAGUGAAGAGGGAAUCCACGUGGACCCAUCCAAAAUUAAAGCCAUUGAGAACUGGUCAGAACCCAAGACACCUACAGAAAUUCGUCAAUUUCUAGGUCUUGCUGGCUACUACCGCUGAUUUAUUCGGAACUUCUCCCGAAUAGCAAAACCUCUUACAUCCCUGACCCAGAAAGGCGUGGCCUUUGACUGGGAAGAGAAACAAGAGAGAGCGUUCCAAACGCUCAAGCGAGCCUUGUGCACCGCGCCAAUACUAUCCCUCCCCGAAGGGAUAGAAGACUUCGUAGUUUAUUGCGAUGCAUCGAAUCAAGGGCUCGGGUGUGUUCUGAUGCAGCGAGGUUAACUACACGACCCACGAUUUUGAACUAGGAGCAGUGGCAUUUGCUCUGAAGAUCUGGAGACAUUACUUGUAUUGAACGAAAAGCACUAUCUUUACCGACCAGAAGAUUUUACAACACAUUUUCGAUCAGAAGGAGCUCAACAUGAGACAACGACGGUGGGUCGAGCUACUCAGUGACUACGAAUGUGAUAUUCGUUAUCAUCCGGGUAAAGCCAACGUAGUAGCAGACGCCCUGAGUCGGAAGGAAUAUUCUGGUCGCAAAGUCAAGUCAUUAUCGAUAACCAUCCAUUCACACCUGACUAAGCAAAUUCAGGCGGCUCAACUUGAGGCCAUGAAACCUGAAAAUGUGUCAAGUGAAUCCCUUAGAGGAAUGGACAAGAAUUUAGAAGCCAAGGGUGACGGAGCUUUAUAUUUCAUGAACCGGAUCUGGACACCGAAACACGGUGGUUUCCGAGACUUGGUCAUGACCGAGGCGCACAACACUCGGUAUUCCGUCCACCCAGGUUCAGAUAAGAUGUAUCAGGAUCUUAAAAAGCUAUACUGGUGGCCUAAUAUGAAAGCAGAGAUUGCUACCUUCGUAAGUAAAUCCUUUACUUGCGCAAAGGUUAAGGUCGAGUACCAGAAGCCCACCGGUUUACUGUAACAACCAGAGAUUCUAGAAUGGAAGUGGUAGCGGAUCACUAUGGAUUUCAUAACCAAGUUGCCCAAGACAAUGGGUGGACUUGACACCAUAUGGGUCAUCGUUGAUAGAUUGACCAAGUCUGCACACUUCCUGCCUAUCAAAGAAACCGACAAGAUGGAGAAACUUACGAGAACAUACAUUAGGGAAAUNUACGAGAACAUACAUUAGGGAAAUCGUACGGCUACAUGGUGUACCUAUGUCCAUUAUCUCCGAUAGAGAUAGUAGGUUCACCUCAAGAUUCUGGCAAUCACUACAACAUUCCCUAGGAACAAGGCUGGACAUGAGCACAGCCUACCAUCCACAGACCGACGGACAGAGUGAGAGGACCAUCCAAACACUGGAAGAUAUGUUGCGAGCCUGUGUGAUUGACUUUGGAAAGGCAUGGGAUACUCAUUUACCCCUUGUUGAGUUUUCCUAUAAUAACAGUUAUCACACGAGCAUCAAGGCUGCUCCAUUUGAAGCCCUCUACGGCCGAAAGUGCAGAUCCCCUCUGUGCUGGGCUGAGGUGGGUAAUACCCAACUAGCCAGGGGGCAAGCUUCCGACAAUACUCUCACCGGUCCGGAGAUCAUUCGGGAAAUGACAGAGAAAAUCGUUCAGAUUCAUGAACGAUUGAAAGCCUCUAGAGACUGACAGAAGAGCUACGCUGAUAAACGAAGAAAACCUUUGGAAUUUUAGGUGGGAGACCGAGUCCGUCUCAAAGUUUCACCCUGGAAGGGAUUGAUACGCUUCGGCAAGCGUGGGAAGCUUAAUCCGAGGUACAUAGGGCCUUUCGAGAUUCUUGCAAGAGUCGGCCCCGUAGCUUACAAACUCGACCUACCCAACGCACUUCGUAACGUACAUUCUACAUUCCACGUAUCUAACUUGAAAAAGUGUCUGUCCGACGAGACUCUUGUAAUCCCAUUCGACGAGAUCGAGAUCAACGAGAGCCUCAACUUCGUGGAAGAACCGGUAGAGAUCGUGGACCUUGAGGUAAAGCAGACGAUGCAAAGUCGUAUCCCUAUCGUGAAGGUUCGCUGGAACGCCAAACGAGGACCGAAAUUCACUUGGGAACGAGAGGAUCAGAUGAAACUGAAAUACCCUCAUCUUUUCGCUUAAAUUGUUUGUAACUUCUUAUUUGCUUAAAUUCUAAUUUCAGGACGAAAUUCCUUCUAACUGGGGGAUGAUGUGAUAACCCGAAAUUUCCAUUUUGUACGAAAUAUAUCUAUUCAAUAGAAGCUAGUCCAGUUUCAAUGAAUUCCAGACUUUUCCGAAUAAGUUUGUGUACAUUAGGGUUUAUGUUUAAGGAGAUAUCAGGAGAGUGCAUGCUCCUGGGUUUGUGAAACUUGAGCAUUUCAAAACAUCAUAAUGUUAUAGUCCAAUUCUGGAAUAAAUAUAUUUUCUGCCAAAAUAUUUCAGGACUAUAAACAGAUUUCUGAACUAAAAUCAUUCAUUAUUCACAUUUCCAACUAGAGAAAAUCCAUUUUAUCUCUCAUGGAUGUACGGGUUUUCAUCCCAAAUCGUGAGUACACUUCUCUAGUUGUGUUAUAAUGCUUGUUUUAUGCUUAUUAACAUAGAUUACAUGUCAAAUAUGUGAGAUUUGGGAGUUUACCGCCCAAGAACAUUCUUGGGGAGUAAACUCCAAAAUGAAGCCUAAAGGCCAUCUAGUCCCAUUUCCUUGUUAGUUAACUAGCUUAGGGUAUUAUGUAUGAUCAUUUGAGACUAGAAAACAACCAAGAACACAUAGCUUUAGGAGUUUACGGCCCAAGAGUUUCUUGGGUAUUAUGUAUGAUCAUUUGAGACUAGAAAACAACCAAGAACACAUAGCUUUAGGAGUUUACGGCCCAAGAGUUUCUUGGACCGUAAACACAAAUUUCAAGGGCUUAAAUGUGCCCUAAUCACUCCCAAAGGCUUUAGACUUUAACCCUCAAUUACUUCUAGCUAAUUUGGAGACUUUAACAAAUCAAAAACACCCCUUAAAGGGACUUUACUGCCAUGGAACUACUCUUGGGCCGUAAACACCAAGUAAGGACACCAAAGUGUGCCUAGGGUCCCCCUUAGCCUUAAACAAAUGCAUAGAAAUUAUCCUACAUGUGCAAGAGACUUAAAAGAAUUAAAACACCCAUCCCAUGUGAGUUUACGGCCGUAAACUCUAAGGGAUAUGGUCUUUUGGCCGUAAACUCCUCAAAGGAGUAUUUUCUAUGCCCUAAACUACCCAAAGGAUUAAACCACCAAGUUAGGCUUAUUCUAGAAAUCAAAUAACACUUCAAAACACCAAUUACCACCAAGAUUGGAGUUCACGGCCGUAAACUCAAGGGUUUACGACCGUAAACUCCUUGUGUGGGGUUUAUUGAGUAGUAAACACUUAUAUAAGGCCCUUUGGUACAUUAAACCCCUUUAGCCUUGUCCCAUAACAACUUAGAUGCAACCAUUAGGACCUAUAACACUUAUACAAAGUGUUUACAUGUUCCUAAGUGUCCCAACUUAUUUCAUUAAGUUAUUAUUUGGCUAAUUAGUUAUAUAUAUGCUUAUUAUAUGAUAACUAGGCUCGUGCGUGUGAACAAGUCUCCGUUUGCCACCUAGCACGGUAUCCGACACUUCAAUCCAAUCCACUCACCACAAGUGAGUUCAUACCCCUUUAAUUAACCUUUGAAAUACUUUUAAAUGUUUUAAAUACUUUAUGGGGGGAUACAAGUUAAAUACUUAUAGUUAUUACAUCAAUCACAUGUGAUUAAUAACUAGAAAACCAAUGAUUUUAUCACUGUUCAAACUGUUUAUCAAACUGUUUUACUUCAAAAUGUUUUACAAACUCUUUUACUUAUCAAAUACUUUUAUUUAAACUUUGUUAUACUUCUUAUAAAUUGCAUGCCCAUAUAUGUAUAGAUAUAUAAGCAAUGUUUAAAGGGCUUAGGAAGGCCAUCCGCCCUAUUUCCUUUUUCUCGAUUUGGAUGUGGUCUGGUGGGAUUUCGGGUAACCGUCCGAAGGUCGUUUCAAUAUUAAUUAUAUAUCAAAUGUACAUAUAUAGACAUAAAAGUACUUCCAUAUUCAUGCGUAUUAGUUACAUCAUUAGUAAGUUACCAUCGGGGUAACACAGGAUCAUACUACUACAAUUUCUAGAUCAAUGAGUCAGUUCAUUCAUGAGUCAAUACUUAUUACUAUGAGAACAUAUACAUUACAUUACUAAGAGAACAUAUACAACUAUACUAGAAAGAGAACAUAUACAACUAUACUAGAAAGAGAACAUAUACAACUAUACUAGAAAGAGAACAUAUACAACUAUACUAGGACGAGAACAUAUACAACGAUACUAGAACAAGUAACAUUACAUUACAUAUACAUGAAUACGUUAACAAUUGUGAUCCACUGUAUGGGAGCAUGCCUUAAUUGUCAUGACCCGAGUUGUAGCCAGAGUCUCUUGAAGGGAGAGCGUGAGUUUGCGUAUAGAUCUAUACUGGAUUGACUACCCUACACCUCGCUGCUAGCUACAGCGGGACUGACAGGUCUGUGGGUGCCAAACGUCAUACCUUAUUUUUUCGACUAUACGUUGUCGUUGUUACCAGUCUAUAGUAUGGUGCAAUUUAUCACAUUAUACCUUAAUAUAAAUCCGGUUUAAGGUAGUUAGUACAGCAGCAGUUCCUAUAAUACAAAACUACAGUACUACAAUGAUUUACCCAUUACAUAUUUUUAGUGAUUAUUUCACUUAAACAUUAAUGUACAAACUAUAUUUUGUUAAAUGAUAGUUACACUUGGGAAAUUACACACUUUUACAACAAACGAGCAUACAAAACAAUUAAGCCUUGGUAGAAGGCUACUUUAAUAGAAAAUAUAGGUUUUUCUGAGGAAUUCAAACUUUUACGAACACUUACAAACAUUUGCUUACAUUUUAGAACUUAUACUUGGGAAAGGUUCAAACAUUUUUGAUAACAAACACCGACACUAAAAUACUUAUGAACUCACCAGCUUAAUGCUGAUAAACUCUUUCAAAAUAACUUGUAUUCUCGGGUCAUCAGUAGACAGGUACCGUGGCCAGCUUUUUAGAAGAUGGAGCGCAUCCAAGACUCAUCUUAUUAUUUUGAUUUAAAUUAUUUUGGUGUCUAUAACUAUACAGAACACGCUUGUAUUAAAAUUAUAUAUUUAAUGCAAUGGAUGAUGUUGUUUGCUUAUUAACAUUUACUGUGUUGUGAUACUUUACAUGACGUCCUCCGCCCCAGAAUGUUUCUGCCGUUCUUGGUUAUGGGGCGUGACACUUAUGUGUCAUCACAUGAAAAAUAGGGGCCAUAGCAGUUCAGGGCAUCCGUUGACACUCGAUAUGUACAUUAAGCGGUGAGUUCAUACCCCUACCCAUUUUCACUGUUUUUCACUGUUUUCAGGGGGGAACACAAGCAAAGUACAAGGGAUUACUUGUACUCAAAACUUAUUUUCAUGUGUGUGUUUCACAUUUUAUAUGCUUUUAACACUGAUUGUCACAACUGAUAACCGUUUGAACAUGCAGAUCACGUAAACAUAUAGUUGUGAAAUGGAUUUUAAACUGUUAUGUUUUAUAUAUAUUUCACAAAUGGUUUUCCACAUUUUAUCAGCUAAAAGCAUCACAUUAGAACCAUCGAAACAUAAAACUUGUACACUUUUUUGUCCUCGGUAACACUCCACAGAGAUACACGAGUGGAGGAUUAUCAUAUUAUUACUAGAAAAUUUAUUAGUUCUGUAUGAUUGGAGACACGUCCUCGGCGAACACUCCACAGAGAUACGUGAGUGGAGGACUGCACCCGUAACCAGAAUCUCUUGGAUAGGGAGCGUGACUUGAGUGUAUAGAUCUAUAAGGGGUUGACUACCCCACACUUGGCUGCUAGCUACAGCCGAACCGAAAUGGUUCAAGGGUGACGAAAGUCAUAAGGUGAUGUGGACUACUUAUUGCCAUAUCUAGUCUAUCGUAUGGUUAUGGAACUCGCAAUUAGGAUAACAGAGACUUACUUAAUAGUAAUAAUGAAUAACGUAAUACAUUUCACAAGAUAACCAGGCUUUCAGUAUACAUCUUUCACAUUGAUAACCAACAUUCAGGAAAGUAUGGGACUUUCCUGGGGAAACAUUGUACAUAACCAGAAAAGUGUAACAAACUGGAUAACUUUACAUCUCAGAAGGGUAAACAUGUUUUUCAGAAUACAUCUUUUACAUUUGAUGACCAAUAAUCAGGAAGGUAUGGGACUUUCCUGGGAAACAUUGUACAUAACUUGAAAAGUGUAACAAACUGGAUAACUUUACAUUUUCAUAUGGGAUUUUAUUGGUGUGUAUAACAUUUUCAGAAACAGAAAGGAAACUGGAACAUUUUCACAAAACAAAAACCGCUUUUGAACACACCAGCGUUAUGCUGAUUUUCAAACUGUUUGUGUUCUCAGGUCAGCGUUAGAACAGGUAUCCGAUGAUUCCUUUUUGCAAAGACGGAGUGCUUUGAAGUCUCUUCUUACUUUUGUUUACAUAUAUAAUGUAUCACACCUGUACAAAUUCACUUUCAAACAAAUGUAAAUUUAUUAUAUGUAAUGUAAUGGUUGAUUACUUUACUUACUAUGUGCAUUGGAUUUGAUACUCAACAUGGAGUCAACCCCGGAAAUGUUUCCGCCUUCGGUUUUCGGGGUGUGACAGUAGGAUAGGACAUUAAUUCUCCCUCAUUAAAAGUAUAAUGAUAAAUAUAUAAAGUAACUAAACUUUUAUUAAAUUCCCAAUGUUAGUUACUUUAGGAAAAAUGUGAAAUGGUGCUAAUUUAUGAAAUUACUCUUUACACCUUGUUAAGUCGUUAGUGGAGUGUGUGUUGUUAACCGGCUCACUAAUCUGGAACUGACAAUGUGUGGCAAAGGGUAACCUGGUGUUAAUUAUAGAUCAAUGGAGUGUGUGUGGUUAACUGGCACAUUGAUUACGUGGUUUGUAACAUUAGGUGUACCAAGCUAAUUUGCAUGGUUAUUCACUCCUUGAUUAUGAUCCUUGUAACCCCAGUCACAAACAUGAAGGGCACAAUCAAGAUUUAAACAUGCCAUUGAAAAGUUCAAUGAAUCUUAAAGAUCUAGGAAUUUCAAUUCCAAUUAAAACUUAAUAAUCUAUUUCGUUUUCAUGGUGGAAUUGGUAAAUCGUUAUUUACCUACCUUCAAGUAUUUUUUCAAUUGGAUUACGGCAUCCCUAUUCCCAAUUGUAGAAUAUUGUGUUGGGUCUUAGCCUUAAUAUUUCAUAUUGGAAGAAAUAUUAAGGAUAAUCAUCUAAACUAAACUUUGUUCUUCUUCUUUGACAUAUGUCUAUCCCAAACAGAUUGAUGUCACCACUGCUACUCCUGAACAAAUCGUUGAACACACUACUCAUGAGAGGGAUGCGACUAAGGUGUCGUGUCUAAUGAUUGCAACCACGACUGCUAAGCUGCGUAAGUCCUAUGAGGACUACUAUCUUUAUGAAAUGUAUCAUGACUUGAUGGAAAGAUACCAUCAAACUGCUCGGCAAGAAAGGUUUGAGAUCAUUGCCUCCAUUAUCACAACAAAAAUGAAGGAUGGUGAACUCAUCACGACCCACUUACAAAAGAUGCAGAGAUUGAUGGACCGCUUGAUAAAAUUGAAUGUCAAUUUUGAUAAAGAGUUAGCCAUAUAUAUAAUUCUAUACUCUUUACCUCCUUGUUAUGAUCAGUUUCGUAUGACUUAUCAUAUGAGCAAGGAGGAGGUCACUCCUAGCAAGCUUCAAGGCCUUUUAAGGACUGUAGAAAGCAACCUGAAAGGCAAAUCGAUUGUGUCUACUCCUACUACUACUUCUACCCCUAUUCUAGAAAUUGGACAUGGAAAGGGAAAGAAGAGGAAGGCUCCCUCCAAGAGCCGCAAGGGAUAGUCUUUUGAUGGAUCCUCUUCAAAUGGGACCUAAGCUGCUUUUGCUAAUCCCUCUUCCAAUCCGAAAGAAGCAGAGUGCUUCCACUGUCAUGAAAAGGGCACUAUAAACUCAGUUGCCCCAUGUACUUGCAGGACAUAAAGGAUGGCAAGAUCAAGCCCUUAUUUGCAGGUAUUUACACUAUUAAAUAUGAUAACUCAUCACAUGCUAAUUGUUGGAUCUUUGAUACAGGUUGUGGAAUUCACAUUUGUUCUGAUUUACAGGGACUAAAAAGAAGUAGGGAUGUGGAUCACGGGAAGAUAAAGUUAAUCAUGGGAAAUAGGAAAGUUUCGCCUGUUACCAAGAUUAGAGUUUAUUCUUUAUUGCAUAGUAAUUGUUUAAAUUUAGAUUUGAAUAAUUGUUGUUACUCAGCCGAUAUGGCAAGAAAUAUUAUUUCCUUUCAAAGUUUGUAUGCACAAGGUUUUACCUUUUCUUUUAAUAAUGAAAAUGAUGGUAUUUAUGCUUAUUGUAAUGGUGUAUUUUAGUUUGAAGCAUUACCUUGAAAUGUUAUAUAUGAAACUUUGUUGAUUGUAUAUAACUUAGGAAUAAAUGUGUUUAAUAUUGUUUCUUCCAAUGAAUUGGAUAAUGCAUGCUUGUGGCAUUGUCGUCUUGCACAUGUCAACAAGAAGCGCAUAGUCCAAAAGGAUGGAGUUCUGGAGUCAUUCGACUUAAAAUCGGAUGACACUUGCAAAUCUUGUUUACCUGGAAAGAUGACCAAGUCACCCUUCACUGGUACUUGUGAAAGGGGGUGAAGUUAUGUUGGAUCUCAUACACACUGAUGUGGGUAGACCAUUCAAAACCACCACAAGGGAUGCUAACAGAUUCUAUGUGACUUUUACUGAUGAUUACAGUUGAUAUGGCUAUAUCUGCUUAAUCAUGCAUAAGUAAGAAACCUUUGAAAAGUUCAAAGAGUUUAAUCAAGAAGUGGAGAAUCAAUUGGGCACACAGAUAAAGAUGUUGCGAUCCGAUCAUGGAGGAGAGUAUCUUAGUAUUGACUUCCUUGACUAUCUUAAGGAAUGUGGAAUCACUUCACAAUUGAUGCCACCUAGGCUACCACAACUUAAUGGUGUGGCUAAGAGGCGCAAUAGAACCUUGUUAGACAUGGUUCGUUCCAUGAUGAGUCGAGCUACGUUACCGAUCUCAUUUUGGGGGUAUGCCUUAGAGACUUCCGCCCGUAUCCUUAAUCUAGUGCAUACCAAAAAGGUUUCCAAAACACCUCACGAGAUGUGGAUAGGGAAAAGAAACUUACGACAAGCUCGAACCUUAGAGUGAGAUAUGUAUUUUCAUCGGUUAUCCAUAGAAAUCCUUUGGAUAUCUCUUCUACAGACCGAGUGACAAUGUUGUCUUUGUUGUGAGGAGAGAAGUCUUUUGCAAGAAAGAACUCAUAGGCCAAGGAAACAGUGGGAGGCAAAUUGACCUUGAAGAUCUUCAACAGUUAAGCGGUGAAGGAACCUCAAAGACUAGCAAUCAACUUGAGGAGGAAACUCCAGUUGAUCCAAUUGACGAGUCCUUACCUCUGAGGCAUUCAAGUAGAGUUAGAAAUACACCUGAGUUUUAUGGUUUCCAUAAUACUAUUUAAGGUGAUAUAUUUAUCAGUGAUAGCACACUGGUAAAUUUGGAUGAACCUAACAAGUACAAGGAAGCCAUUGCAGGUCCCGAGUCUGUAAAAUGGAAAGAGGGUAUGGACAGCGAGACUCAGUCCAAGUAUGACAAUCAAGUUUGGAACUUGCUGCAAAAAGUACUGGGUCAUAAGACAAUCGGGUGCAAAUGGAUCUUCAAGAAGAAUACUGACAUGGAUGGGAAAUUACACACACAUAAAGUGCGAAUGGUUGCGAUGGGCUUUACUCAAACUCUAGGUGCUGACUACGAUGAGACCUUCUCACCAGUAGCAAAGAUUAAAUCUAUAAAGUUUAUGUUGGCCAUUGUUGCAUUUCAUGACUAUGAAAAAUGCCAAAUGGAUGUCAAAACUACUUUCCUUAAUGGAAAGUUGGCUGAAGAUGUUUACAUAUGUCAGCCAGAUGGUUUUGUUAAUGCAAAGUACCCUAAUAGAGUGUGUAAGCGUGAGAAAUCCAUUUAUGGGUUGAAACAAGCAUCUCGUAGAUGGAAUCUUUGUUUUGUUGAGAAAGUAAAAGAAUUUGGAUAUUCGAGAAGUGAGGAUGAGUCUUGUAUAUGUCACAACUACGAAUUUUGAUGCUUUGUAACUACAACAAUUAUAUCAAUUGUGAACCAACAAUGUGAAAGCAUGUAUGAUGCUUAUUCAAUAACAAGAAAACUUCAUCAAAUACAUCAUUCAAGCACUACAAAUAGUCAACAAAGAAUUGAAAACCCUUGAAAUCCCGGUUUAAGUCCAUUUAGAACUAGGAUUUCCUUAUUGGACCUAAUGGACCAAUAAGCUUCCAAUUUAACUAUCUUGAACAUAGAACUCUCAAAUGGGCCUUAAUUAGACCCAUAUACAUGAAACUUAAUAAUUUGGGCUUUACAAGCCUAAAAUAAACUAGGUUAACUUUAAUGAGGCUUAUUAGGUCACAACAAAUUUAAAUUAGCCCUAAUGGGUCAUAAAAAUCAUACUUGGAUUUAUUUGGGGCCAAAAAUCAUCUAAGUGAAUCAUAAGAUGGGCCUAAGAUCAAAAAGCACAAUUUUCUUCCUUUCCCCUCUCCUCUUUUCGUCCCAACAACCUAAAAUGGAAGAGGGUUGACUUCCAUUUGCCACCUCACAUUUACCCAUAGGUCCUCCAUGCAUAUAACUCAUAUUUCCAUGCAACCAUCAGUUCAUCUACUCUCUCUUCUCCUCUCUUUUUCUCUCAUCCGAAACAACACAAACACACACACGCAUUUCACUCAAACUCUUGCAAAGAAACUCUCUUCAUUCUUCAUCAAAAAAAAAAUCGAGAUUUAGAGCUUGAUAAGGAGUUUCUUCCACAAAAAUCAUCAUUCAAGGUAAGUGUAUGUUUGGACCUAUGAUCUAGAUUCUUUGUUUUAUCAAAAUAUCUUCCUAAUCUAUCCAAACUCAUAACCACCAUCUUAGAAACACCUGAGUUCGAGAUCCUACAAGGAUAGCUUCCUAGGCCAAGAUUUGCACCAAACUUCUUCAUUUCUCUCUUCAAAACUGAAACCAAAACUCAAGGUGAGCUUCAUAACCCUCUCUUUUCGGUUUUCAUAUGUUUUAUGGGGAAGAAUACAAGAAAAUGUGUAGAUUUAUGUGUAUGUGUAUGCUAUGUGUGAUUUUAUGCAUGUAUGUAUGAUUUUAUAUGUUUUUGUGAUGAACAUGUAACUAAAAAGGGGUGUUAACUCGAGAUCUAUGACAUGAGAAAGUAAAAAAACAUGAUCUAAGUUAUUUUACACCAAAAAAGUCAAGAAUAAUAACUUAUAAGAUUGUGUUAAACAUACUUCAACAUAAAACCCAUUUUUGGGCUAAAAUUGUCAAAUAUACAAAAAUUUGGGCUAAAAGUUGCCAAAACACGGUUUCUUAAGGGUUAAAGAGUCAAAACUGUUAAAAUAAUUGUUUUUAUGAACAUUAAAAUUUUCAAAGGACUUGAAAUGUAAGUUUUUAGCUUAACGGGCUAAUUUUUUCGGCCCAAUAAGCCAAAAAUUGCGAAAAAUGACAAUUAAAGGGGUUGAAAUGAAACUUUCUUCAAAUAAGGGGAUAAAAAGUGUAACAAAACUAUUUCAAGGGUCAAAAAUGCUUUUCAGUUCCAAAAACGAUCAUAAUGUAAAGUUUUUGGAUUUUGGGCCAAAACUGUAAAAAAUUGCGAAAAGUUGGGUUUUAAACCGAAAAAUACUAUUCUGAAAGGGGUGAAACUGUUAACAAAAUAAGCUUCGAGUUAAAACUAUCAUUUCAACAAAUCUAUGAUGCAAAAGUGUCAAGAAAAUAUUUUAAGGGCUAAAAAUGUCUUUUCUUUUAUAUAAAGGACUAAAACUGUCAUUUUUAUAAAAAUGAAGGUGUUGAAAAGGUCAACCACUAUUUUAAGCAAAUUAUUUCAUUAAGUCAAAUACAAAACCAUGACUUACGAAAAAUUGAAAGAAGAAUACACUUUUAACUCCAAAUAUCGUUAUAAACAAAUCGAUCGGUCUCGAAUCGAUACAAACACAACAACCGUUAAAUCGAACCCUCCAAUACAUAUGCGAUACCUAAGAUGAGUAAUUAUUCAAAAUUUGGGCUUGAAAGUUUCAAAUCAUGUUUGUUGGACCUUGCAAGUCCAUUAACAUGAUCUUUGGGCCCAAAGGGAUAACGCUUAUGUGUUAUUGGGCCUCUUAUGGCCUAAUUCCAUAUAAAAGGAAUUUCAAUGCCUUUUAUGUGCUAUUGGGCCCUAGUGGUCCAUUAGUAUUGAUAGUAAGGUCAAAGUAAUCAAAUGCGAGUUGGGCCAUCAUGUCUUUCGCAUCCCCGACAGCCUAAGGUACUUACGAAGAAGCAGGACUUCGUACUCCUCUUCUCUUCGUUCGCUAAGGCUUCUGAGUAAUCAAAGUAGACGGAAUUAGGACGUUAUUCAACAGUAAUCAAGCUUGUUUGGAUUAAGUGAGUAACAAUGGACGACACCUCUAUGGGACGUUCGUAGUUGGCUGUUAUAACUUGUCUUCACCGGACAUCGUUACAACGACUCACUAGGGUUAUCCAACACCAUCCAAGUAUUCAAGGAUAAGUAAUCAAAAGCCAUUCGUUGUGGCGGGUUAACAGUUAGUAAUCAUGUAUAUCUUUCGACAUCGGAAAACAUCGGGUUUUCCGGGGAAAUCAAUACUACUCGCUCGGAAAUUAUAUAACUAUAAUACAAAACACUUCUUUUCUUUGUAUGUUUUGAAAUCAUUCGUGCAUCAACUUAUGGAUCUACACACUUUGAUAAACUAUUGACUUUUCAGAAAAUAUCGGAUUUUCUGGGUUUCACAAACUAUGCAAAUCAUUUUAUUCACAACCUUGCUUAUGAAGUCACCAACAUUUCAUAUGUUGAUGUUUUUCCAAAAUAACUUGUAUUCCCAGGUAACAAAUAAGUGGAAGGGUAAUACCAUGUAAGUUAGGGUGUUUUGUUUAUGAUAUCUAUGAAACAAUUUACGUAUGGAUAUGUAAUGUUAAAACAAUGUACUUGAUGUGAACAAUUCCAGUUGUAAUAUUUUGAUGCAUGGUGAUGUUUAUGUUAUGAUUCGUGUAUAUUCAUUGUGAUGAUAUUCAAUUUAAGUCGCGCGAGCCCUUGGACGUUUCCGCCGUCUAGUUCGGGGGUGUGACAGUAUAUAUGUCAAAGCUAGUGGUACUAUAGUGAGCUUUCUGGUAUUGUAUGUAGAUGACAUACUACUCUUAGGAAACGACAUCCCAACCUUUCAGGAGGUUAAGUCCUAGCUUGGGAAGUGUUUCACUAUGAAGGACCUUCGAUAAGCUGCGUUAUCUUACGGAUACGGAUAUUGAGAGACAGGAGUAAAAGGCUAAUAGCACUUAGUCAAAUUACCUACUUGGACAAGGUGUUGAAAUGUUUCAACAUGGAGAAUUCCAAGAAAGGUGACUUACCUAACCAAAGCAAUACCAAACUGAAUAAUACUCAGAUUCUGAGUAUAGAGGCUGAAAUAGUAUAAAUGAGUCAUAUACCAUAUGCUUCCAUAAUUGGUUCAAUCAUGUAUGCUAUGACUUGUACUCACCCGGAUGUGGCCUUUGCUUUGAGCAUGGUCAGCAGAUAUCAAGUGAAUCCUAGUAAAGCUCAUUGGACUGCAGUUAAGAACAUUCUUAACUACAUGUGGAGGACUAAGGAUUUGAUCCUUACCCUCGGUGGGAGUGAUGACUUGAGAGUGAUAGGGUAUAGCUGUCACACCCCCAAACCGAAUUGGUGGAAACAUUCACGGGGUGGAGGACGUCAUGUACAGUAUUAUACAAUUCAUAAUAGUAAAACAAGCAACAACAUCAUCCAUUGCAUUAAUAGUAUAAUUUAUACAUGUAUGUUAUUAAUGUAUUUGUAAGACACCAAAAACAUAUAUAUCAAAAUAAAAGACAAGUCUGAAAGGACUCCAUCUUCUUAAAACCUGGCCAUCUGUACCGGUCUACUGGUGACCUGAGAAUGCAAGUUAUUUUAAAAGUGAGGAUCAACAUUUAAGCUGGUGAGUUUAUAAGUACUUUAGUAUCAAAAGUUUGUAUAAGUUUGAAGAAAGUGUUUGUAAAUGUUUGUAUCUCCUAGAAAAUACUAUAUCUUUCUACUUAUCAUGAAAUGUAGCCUUCUACCAAGACCCUAAUGUUCUGCAUGUUGUUUGUUUGCAAAAGUGAGUGUUUUUUUCCCAAGUAUGACUAUCAUUACCAAAAUAUAGUUUACAUUUCCGUUUAUGUGAGAAGAUCACAAUGUGAAUGCAAUGGGAAAAUAAUGAUCUACUAUAGUAUUGUAUAUAGUAACUUCUGUUGUACCAACUACCUUAAACCAAUUCUUAAUUAAGGUAAAAUGUGAUGACAUGGUAACCAUGCUUGAUUAACUAAGAAAACAUGAUGUUCAAAGACGUCGAAAUGAUAUGACCUUCAUCACCCGUAGACCUGCAGGUCCCACUAUAGCUAGCAGCAAUGUCUAGGAUAUUCAAUCCAAUAAUGAUCUAUACACAAAUUCCCGCUCUCCUACCAGGAGGCUCUGGUUACAAAACGUUACUCGCCAAUAUAUUGCAAUGCCAUGAAGUAGUGGAUCACAUUAAUGUUAUAGUAUUCUUGUAUUUGUAUAGUAUGUUCUCUGUGUUCUACUGUAUUGUAUGUUCUCUUUGUAUAGUAUGUUCCUCCCUGAUUCUUAUUAUAGUAUGUUCUUUCUAUUUCACGUUAUAGUAUGUUUGAACUGACUCAUGUAUGAACUGACUCUUGUAUGUUUCAUUGUACUAGAAAUCGUGAGUAGUAGUCCUCUAAAGUAUACCUAUUAUAGUUUACUAGUAAUGUUGUUUGAAUGACUAAGUAUGUUUGUACACCUUUUCUACCAAAAGGUGUUGAACUCAUGUAUGAACUUUUAUAUCUAUACACAUAUACAUAAUAUAUAACUAAGAUUCAAAUGACACUCGGACAAACAACCGAUACCGUAAGUCCACAACCAAACAAGGAACCGAAAAUAAAACGAGUUGUCAGUCCUAAGCCCUUUCAACCAUAUUUAUAUAACUAUACCUGUAUAGACAUGAUUUUGACAAUAUAUAAGUUUAAAGAGUUUAGCAUAUAAACGGGUUUUCACUUAUAAAGGAAUUUUAACCAUUUGAAUGGUUAUAGAUGACUUGAUGUCAGUUUAUAAAAGGUUUUGAAAUAGUUUGCUUCAUAACACAGUUUUGAAGUAUAAGAAAUCCAUUUGUUUGAUAGUUAUUAAUCACAGGUGAUUGAUAUAAUAACUAUAAUGUUUCUACUUGUAUCCCCCCCAUAAAAGCAUUUUAAAUCAUAAAAGCAUUCGAACGUAAGCUCGAUGUAGGAUGCUAAGUGUCAAGUGAUACCUCGAGCACAAACGGAUCCUAUUAAGCCUAUAAUGACACGUAUAUGCAUAUAAUUAGUGUAUAUAAGAACCAAUCAUAAUAUAGAACUAGCUUAUGGACUAGGAAACACUUGGAUUGAAAUGUUACAAUCACAUAUGAUUGUUCUAAGGGGGUUUACUGCCACACAAGGAUGUUCAUGGGCAUCGUGUUUACGACCAUGGUGUUUACGGCCACGGAUGUUUACGGCCAACACAUGAAAUGGCUUGUGUUACAGUCAAAGAGGUUCACGACCAAUGAUGUUCUUCAUAGGGGUUUACGGCCAAAGGAGAUGCUAUGGCCAUAAACUCCUUUGUUCUAGUGGAAAUGGUUGUUUUCAAGGUAAUAUUUCAAAAGCUUCUAUUAGAUAACUAGUAUAUGGAAGAAUACUUACGUUUUGAAGCUUGAAGGGGGUGUUCACGGUCUAAAGAAAUAGUAGGUGUUCUUGGUGUAAGUGAUGAAGAUUUGAAGAUCUACCCAAAAGAGACGAAUUCAUGGAUGAAAUCAUAGAAUUUUACUAGAUUAAGAAGGAUAUCAACUUAAAAAUGGAAGGAUCACGUACACUUUUGAAGAUCAAGAUGAAUAUUCUUUAUGAUACUUGAGAGAGAAUUGACUUUCUUGACUUGGAUGUGUGUGAAGUGAAGGAAAAUGAAGGAAAAUCAUGCAUAUGGAAGGAGUUCACGGCCAACCAAGACAUUACGGCUGUAAUCUCUAGUUUACGGUCGUAAACUCCAAGUAUUGGAGAUUUCCGGCUUGAAUGAUGCACAAUGAACUCUAGCAGAUACUUUCUAACACCCAACCCUUGAAUGAACUCGGUUUAGAACACUCAAACAAACCCAUAACAAGGCUAAAAGAUAGCAAAAACAAGUAUGACACUAGAUUGAAUUAACUGACUUUACAAGAUAGAAAUUUCGGAUUGUCAUAAUAGUGACGCCAGCUUCCAAACCGACAGUGAUAAUUUCCGCUCUGAUUCGGGAUGUGUUUACCUUUAAUGAAGGAGAAGUGACAUGGAAAAGUUCCAAGCAGGAAACUAUAGCUGAUUCAACGUGCGAAUCAGAGUAUAUAGCAGCAAGCGAAGCAUCGAAGGAGGUGAUAUGGUUGAAAAACUUCACCGGAGACCUUGGAGUCAUUCCAUCCAUAAAGGAGCCUAUGGAGAUUUUCUGCGAUAAUGAAGGUGUGGUUUCCUUAACCAAGGAACCAAGAGAUCAUAGUAGAUCCAGUCAUAUCGACAGAAAAUACCACUUCAUAAGACAUCAGGUAGAAGAAGGGCACCUCAUGGUAAAGGGGAUAUCAUCAGAGGACAACGCAACAGAUCCUCUUACAAAAGGACUGACUAGGGUUAAUGUCACACCCCCAAACCAAGGAUGGCGGAAAUGUCCGGGGGUGGAGGACUUCAUGUAUAGUAUCAUAACAAUAAUUAUAAUAGCGCUCAAAGUAUAGAAAACCAACAUAAAGUCGUUGUUUACCUGAUUUAUGGAUUUCCUGAGAAUACAAGUACUUUUCAAAAAAGUGUCAACAAUUAAGUUGGUGAGUUCAUAAGCUUUUAGAAUGAAAUGUUGAAAUCCUUUCUUGUAAUAGUAGUGUUUGUUCCAGAAAAUCCCAUAUUUUCUGUCUAAAAUGUAUUGUAGUCUAAAAUGCCAAGACUACUAGUAUGCUAGAAUUUUUCCAUUUAAAAUUUGAAUCAUGCAAGUUUAAAUCGGCAUAAACAUGUUAGUUUAAAUAGAAAUUCCAUAAGUCUUAUGUUUGUUAAUACCCCAUGUGAGUUAUUAUAAACAUACUAUGACUUAGUUGGCCUUAUAUAGGACGUUCUUCAGGCGUCAGAAUGUUAAUGACAUUUGUAACCCCAGACCUGCCGGUCUAGCUAUUACAUGCAGCUAAGGUGUGGGUUUGUCAAACCCAGUAUAUAUCUAUACACAACUAUCAUGUUCUCCUUACAAUAGAUUCUGGUUAUAAUUAAAGGACUUUUGUCACGCUACUUGGAAGUAACAUGAAGUGAAUGUCUCACAAAUUUAUUCAAUAACAGAUUUAUGUAAUGUGAUAAUGAUAACCCCUUUUUGUAGAAAUAUACUCUUUUAUAUUGUAUAUGUAACAUAAACUAUACCUCUUAUAUUUUAUCCAAAUUUUUGUAGUGUGUAGUAUUCACCUUCUAUGUAAGUAGAAUGUAUAUAACAAAACGAUUCUAGGUUUACCAUGCUUCAAAAUGCAUUAAUUGUAAUGAUAAAGAAUUCUUACAAUUUAGUGACAUUUCUUUGUAACAUAAAUGUAUCCAAAUAGAAAAAUCAUGAAAAAUAUGAAGACAUCAAGGUUUUACACUUUGCUCAACAAGUUACAAAGUGUUAAUAAAGUUAUAAUUUGUGAACUUGUUUUUACCAUUUCUACACUGAAUUUGAAAAAUCAUAGAAAGUUCAUACUAGAUCAAAAACUAGAUCCGUAAACUCUGACAGUUUAGAAAACGUCUCUAGUUUCUUCACAAAUUUUAUUAUGAUUUUUAGAAGUCCCUAACUGGUCCAAAUUCGUAGCUACAGUGAUAGGUGGUUUUGUAAAAAUCACCAUAAAUUGUAGAAAAAUCGUAUGGACAUGUGCAAGUAGUCAUUUUAAAGGUAUAAACCUGAACUAUUUGCACCUAAUACAGUUUUGAAAACUAAAAAGUUUAAGAUGUUCAAAAUAGUUCGUGAAUGAACAUGAAGUUUUCUGUUGAAAGUUGUUGUUUGUAUUUAGUUAUGUAGUUGGUGAUUUAACUUCUAUUCUCCCCCUAAAACUUGAAGAAAACAGGAAAAUGUGGGGGUAUGAACUCACCUUGAGUGAUUUCAGUAGAUGGAUGAUGAAGAAAAGAAUUGUUCAACUCAAGAACACUUAGAAGAUUACUUGAAGAUCCAAAGAUCUAACACAAUUUUGAUGAUGUUGGUGUAAGAUAUCCAUGAUUUAAGUAGAAUGAAAAGAGGAAUAAUCAUGUGAGGAGUGAUAUUACUUACUAGGAGUAGAUGAAGAGCUUGUAAUCAGCCUUGAAUUUUCGAGAUUAGAGAGGAAUAGUGAGAGAGAAUGAGUUUUUGCUUCUUGGUGGAGAAUGAGUGUAAUGGGAGGAGAGAUAAGAGUUUUCCAGCGUUUGAUGAAGAGUAUGGCUGGAAAAAUGGUGGCAAAAAGGAUGAUGAUUGACCAGGUAUGCGGGAAUAGUGGCUGGGUAUGGCCUUGGAGUGAGUGUCGGAGGGUGAUUGUGUUCUUAUACAAAGGAUAAGUCAACACUCCACCUAAAUAACUUACCCACCAUAUUUUAUUCUUAAAUAAAGAUUUCCAUAAAAAUGUGUUUAGAUUAUGGAAAUAUGAGGUCUUAUAUGUCAAAAUAUAAGUGUGGGUGAAAAUCACGAGUUAAAAUCACGAAAAACGGGCUUAAAAUGAGAAAAUGGUCAAAAACCGGGAAAAGCAAGCGAAUCAGCCAAGAUCCGGACGAAGGACCGAAGUUCAGUCCUUUAAAGCUUAGAACCGAGAGGAGGGUUCGGUUGUGAGGUGAGAACCGAUAUAGGGGUUCAAUCGGACAGAUUCGCAGGCGACGAACUGAACGCUGAAGUGAGGAGGCGAAGGAGAAGGUUCGGUCCGAAAGGGGGUCUCGGUUCGCUUGAUUCGGUUUCGGCUUAUGCGAGGUUCGGCUCUAGCAAGUUCGGUUCUGAAAAUGCUUCAUUCUGACAGGCUUGGUUCCAAGGGUUUCGAAUCCUUAGGGGGUUUUGGCUCCUUAGGGAGGUUCGGUUCCUUGGGGUCUCGGCUCCUUAGGGAGGUUCGGUUCCUUGGGGUCUCACCUCUUAGGGUUUCGGUCCUAAGAGGGUUCGGCCCUAGGUGACUGAUUUCCGCGUUAACUCUCCGUUUUGUGUACUUUUUCGCUAAGUUAAGGGUCGGGAUGCCCCCAAAUCUUUAGAAAAAGUUGAGGGAGGUUACGAGAGAGAUUUGGGAGAGAGAGAGAUUGAGAGAGACUUCGUUUGUGACCUUUUUGGAUGUUUAGCUUCGCAAUGCAAGGUUCAUACACCCCAUUAAGCUUAGUUAUUAGGGUUUUAUGCCCCCGAGGGGUAUGAAAUAACGUUUUAUCAAAUAGUUUCAUCACUUACUCCGAUUAGGGUUUGAAAUUUCUGAACGAAUGAACUUUCCAAGUGAUAACUUCUUAUUAAAAUAGUGAGUUGCACAAUAGUAACAUAGUGUAAACCCUAAUAUACAAGGGUUAUAUGAGCUGACCGGUUGAAUUUGGUGGACUUUGACUUGAUCGGAAAUAGACGGUUGUCACAGUUCAGCACUUGCAGCAUGCGAGGGGCAUUGGGCUAAAGGACGAUAUUGGUUUUAGUAAUUAGAUAAAUUAAAAAUUGUAAUAGCUAAAUUGUAAUUGACAUUUGAUGAUGAAUAAAAAGAGUUUUAUUUAUAAGUAAAGUUACUGUCUUGUGUCCAUCCAUAGUGGAUCAUAUAUUGAAAGUAAGUAUGAAAUAAGACUGUCAUGAGUUGUCUUGUAGAUUAUUCUAAGGAGUUAGUGUCACACCCUGAAACCGAAGGCGGAAAUGUUACGGGGCGGAGGACGUCAUGAAUAUCGCAAACAAUGUACAUAGUAAGCGUACUAAAACACAAAACAUUACAUUACAUAUAAUUAUUACAUUUGUUUGAAACCAAAGUGUUACAAGUGUUAUAUAUAUAUAUAUAUAUNAACAAAAGUAUAGACGUGUCUUCUACGUACUCCGUUUCGCCAAAAGGAUCGCUGGGUACCUGUCUAAUGUGGACCUGAGAAUACAAGCAGUUUGAAAAUCAGCAUAAAUCUGGUGAGUUCAUAAGAAUUUUGUUUUCUGAAAAUGUACAAGUUUCCUUUGGUUUUCCGAAAAAGUUUGUUAUCCAAGAAAAUCCCAUAUUUUCUUAUAAGUAUAGUUCAGUUAUCCGUUUAUUAUACGAUCCGAUUAUGAACAGUUUGUUAUCCCACGAAAAAACCUUAUUUUCCUUAAAAGUAAAGUAUAGUUAUCCAUUAGUUACACGGUCUAGUUAAGUACAGUUCAGUUAUCCCAGGAAAAACCCUUAUUUUUCUAAAAGCAUAUAGUUGGUUAUCGGUUUCUGAAAGUAAUGUACGAGUGGCUACCAUACUUUAUGCGUUCGUGUGAUGUUUCCUGAAAACCUGAUUAUCCUAGUAAAGUACAUUAGUUUUAACACGUAUAUAAAACUAAUAAGAAAGUAUAAAAGUAUUCAUAAUCUAAAUUGCGAGUUCCAUAACCAUACUAUAGACUGGAUAAUGCUCGAAACAGGGCCAAUAUCUUUUUAUGACUUUUGUCACCCUUGAACCUUUCGGUUCGACUAUAGCUAGCAGCCAGGUGCGGGGUUGUCAAUCCUGUAUAGAUCUAUACACUCAAGUCAAGUUCUCCUUCCAAGAGAUUCUGGUUACGGGGGUAGUCCUACAUUCUCGUAAAUAGGGGGAGUGUUACAAGGACGUGUCUCCAAUAUUAAGAUUAAUGAAUUAAAAGACAAUAAAAUGGGAAAUUCUGAGUAAUUAGUCCUUCACUCUCGUAAAUAGGGGGAUUUUUAUCAAGGACUUGUCUAAGUUCUAUGUUUAAUGUCACUAUUCCACCACUCUCGUAACUAGGGGGAGUGGUAAGGUUCUAUUUUUAAUGUUAUUAUUCCUUCACUCCCGUAUCUACGGGGAGUGGUAAAGUUCUAAGUUUAAUAUUAUUAUUCCUUCACUCUCGUAUCUACAGGGAGUGGUAAUGUUCUAAGUUUAAUGUUAUUAUUCCUGCACUCUCGUAUCUACGGGGAGUGGUAAAGUUCCAAGUUUAAUGUUAUUAUUCCUUUACUCUCGUAUCUACGGGGAGUUAUAUCAAGUACAUUUUAAAGUUUUAAGAUUCAUGCUUUUAACAACAAUGAUAUGUAAAUUCAUUUGUGAAAUAUAAAAUAUUACAUUUUGAAACGAAUUUCACAAAUAACAUGAUGGUUUACUCUACAAGUUGAAUGAUCGGUUAAUACAGUUUUCCGUGUUAAAAGCAUACAAAAUAUGAAAUGGAUCAAAUGAAAUUAUAAGUUUGAGUACAAGAUUUCCUUGUACUUUUGCUUGUAUUCCCCCAUGAAAACAUUCAAAAACAGUGAAAAAGGGUAGGGGUAUGAACUCACCAAUCGUGGAAUGUGUCAGUUUGGGUGCUAAACGUCAGUUCAAGGAAUCAAAACGCGCGAGGUUCCUAUGUAAUAUGAAAUGAUACACAGUUGUAUCUAAUUAGAAUUUGAACCACUAGUUAGAUAAGAUUAUACACUCCAAGACGCGAAAACACUUCAAAGUAAGUGUUUGGAGUGACUCGGGUGACAUCUAUGGACAUAUAUGGCUUGGAUAUGGAGUUUACUCUUCAAGAGUAAACUCAUAAGAGGGUUUACAGCCCUAAUGACCCACUCCCCAUGAGUUUACGGCCGUAAACUCAUGGUGAGCUGUUCUAGGGUGCUAAAUGGCUUAUAUCACUUGGGAAAAUUAGCUAGGAUCAAAUCUAGGGCAUAGCAAUGGAUUAAACCAACAUAUGGACCAUCUAAUGGAGUUUACAGCCAUAAGCUCCCCCACACACCUUCCUUUGAUUUUUUGGUGGUCCUAGGUCAUUACAAGUGUUUCUAGCUAAAUCUACAAGCCAUGGAAUUAGUUUAAGGCACCAUUUGACUAAGUUUUAGGAGUUUACGGCCUAAGAACCCAUUCUUGGGAAGUUUAUGGCCGUAAGCUCCUAUGGGGGUAGUUUUAGCAUGUUUAAGGCCCUUAACUUCAUUGUGGUUGCUUCUAGACUUUAUUCCAAGGCUUAUGGUGUGUUUAAGUGGCAUCUUAACACUUUAAAAUGAGUUUACUCCCCAUGAAUAGGUGUUUAAGGUCCAAGCAUGUGCUUGGGCCGUAAACUCAUGUUUACACCCUAAGUGAAGAGUUCAAGGUGUUCUAAGUCCAUGAAAAUAAGUCCUUAGGUCAUUUCCAAGCUCCAAGAGUUAUUUGGGAGGGUUUUAAGGCUCAAAAACCCCUUUUAUGUGAGUUCACGGCCUAGGGCUGUUCUAGGACCAUAAACUCAUGCUAAUGGUCCUAUUUCAAAGAUUAACCACGAGUUUGAAGGCUAAAGAUGUUAUACUAGGAGCUAGGAUAGUUACAUUGAUGAUUUGAAGCUUGUUUUGGAUGAUUUUUGGACCUAGAACUUGGAUUGAAGAGAGAGAGUAGAGAGAGAGUAGAGAGAGAGUGGAAAAGGCUUCAAAUGAGGAUCUCUCAACUUUAUAUAUGCUUAAAGUUUGGGACACGGUGGAAUUCUACCUGAUACUGAUGUUAAGCGAGGAUUUUGGUCGUCCCGAUUUAAUUGUUUUAUAACUCAACGGAAUAAAACUAAAAUUUUUCCAAAUAAUAAUUUGGGGCAUUUUCAUGAGAUUCUAACGUGUUUUGGACAAUUAUUAAGUCAUAAUAGCAAACUCAGAAUUAAUGACUUAAUUUAGAAACGAAAUGGAAACAAUUCAAGACGACGAAUUUUUAAUGAGGGAACGGCUUACGAUGACGAAACAAACUUCGGGUUGUCACAGUUAGGCAUAGCAACAGGUUUGCUACACCAUUCAUGAGUACUUCUGAUAUAAGAUUUAAGUAUUGGAUUCUGAUGGGUUUCGAUCAAUACAUCAUUCAUAUGGUGUACAUGCAAACCCUAAUAGCUUUUGGAUCUAGUUUGUCUAAUGAACAUACAAUUGAAUAUCCAAAGCUAUAAACCCUAGAUCUAGCAUACAAUUAAUCAUAUUAACAUAAAAUAGGGUUUAGAUCUGACCUUAGAUUGUUAUAUAGCAAUAACAAUCAAUCGUUAUCUUUAGAAAGCUUAGUACCUCAAGUGUUGCACCUCUAAUGGAGUCACAAACACCACUAAGCAACAAGGAUGAAUAGGGAAGAGAGGGGAGACACCAAAAAUGGUUGGAAAUCCUAAUCCAAGUGUUCACCACAUAUUUGAGGCCAUAAGGGUCCUUUAUAUAUGUAGGCUAUUAGGGUUUUCAACUAGGAAACCCUAAUAUGACUGUUUAGGCCUUAAGCAAUCCAAUGGACCAUUCCAGAAGGCCCUUGGACGAUUUCUUUAUGGACUUCCAUAUAGAAUUCGUCCAUUUCUAUCUAAUGGAUCCUAAGCCCCACUUUGUAAGUAUCUUAUAAUUACAAUAUCAGUCCCGUAAGUUUAAUUAAUCUCUUUUAGCCACAAAAUUAAUUCUUGACUAAUAUUAAUUAAACAUUAUGAUUUCUCCUUUAAUAUAUUAUUCAUAUAAUAUAUUAAUAGAUCAUAAUUAAACCUUUCUUUCCUUAAUUCAUCCUACAUAUUGUUGUGGUGAAGGUAACCCAAAAGGACCAUGCUCAUAAUCGGGUCAUGUACAUACCAAAAUAAUUAUGUACUUAGACACUAAUCCAACAGUCUCCCACUUGGAUAAGUCUAAUAACUAUUUUCCAUAUGAAUUCAGAACCUGAUCAGCAAUCGUAGCUUUCAAAAGCCGCUGUCAACUUUUAUCUUAUCAAAUAGCAUGUCCUUUAGAUAAGGAAUUAUAUAUUCCUCCAUUCUCUAGAUAUCGUAUAGACAUAAGACAUGGAUUUCAAUCAUUCUCUCUAUACUGUUCCCCCGACUUCCGAUUUAUGACGACUGACAACAGACUACAAUUGAACACAUGCACUUAGUCCCGGCUUGGCCAAGCACUUACUUGUCCUCAAUAAAUCAUCGAGGGGCCCACAGAUAUCGCUUUUAUCCCACUUUGGGUAAAAGGAAUGGAUAAACUUUGACUCAAAUGCUCACUCCCAUUCACUUAUCGAAUCACACACAACAAUAAGUCUUAUAACACCAAGUUACUGUUGUGUUUAGUUAUCAUCAAUGUGCAACCGACCAACAAAUAACAACUCACACGUCUCGGUUUCAAGAAUAUACAAUAUUAUCGUCUCACUAAUCACCCGUGAUAAAUCCAUGAAGUGAUCCAAGUGAGCGUGGGUUUAAUCCAAUACUCUAAUCUUAUCAAAGCACUCAUGAACCCUACAGUAAACUUGUGCUAUGUCUAAACACUUUAGACAAUCUACAGACAUAUUCAAGACAGUCUUCUUUCAUACCUACUUCCAACAUAUGAUCGACUGUGGAGAUUCGAAUAACCCAGUUAUUCUAGAAGUCAAAACAUGCAAACUGAAACACAAUGAUAAUACUUAAUCCUAUAUGGCACCAAACUUGUGAAAGUAAAUAAAACACUUCUAUUUAACCACCAUAUAAACUACUCAUUAUUUAUCGUUUACCGUUUCAGAACAUCAACUUAUUACUCAAAUUACAACAAUAGUUGUCCCAUGCACAAAGCAUGCACACUAUGUUUCCUAUGGUCCUUACUUUGUAAAAUAGAUCAACUGAAAACCUUUUCCAAUGAUGCUCAUUUCUCAUUUCCCAAUCCGUAUCAUUAGUCUUAGAACACCAGGUUCUUACCACUACUAGAAUAUGCUAGAUUCUAACUUUUUAUGCAACGAUCCUUUCGAAAAGUCAUAGCACAAAAGUCACCAAGACUUGGCCAAUGAAAUUACAAAGUACUCUAUCGGAAAUUGUUACAAGACAAUUCCAUAGACGUGAAGUCUCACAUUCAAAGUACAUUCCUUUGAACAUCCUUCUUGCAUAAAAUUUUCUAAUCUAGACAUAGACUCUCAAUAUCCAACUCCAAAUAUGAAAACAUUUCCAUAUUUUCCAUAUGACAACUUAUUCUUAAUAGAAUCUUAUCAAUUCAUAAUAAUGUCGAUAUGGUCCAUCCAAUACCAUACUUCCAACUACUCACAAGCGACCAAUCCUCAACGAACUUUGGAUCAUCCUUUGAUAGUUGUUUAAUUAUUUUAGUCAAAACCGACUCUAGUCCUUUUUCCCUCUUAAUGUCACACCCGCAAACCAAGGAUGGCGGAAACGUCUGGGGGUGGAGGACUUCAUGUAUAGUAUCAUAAAAACAUUUGCAAUAGUGAUUAAAGUAAACACAACCAACACAAAUAUAAUUGAACGAGUUACAUCAUUGUAUGAGUUUACAUGUUUCCAAAUCAAUUGCAUUAUGUUGACAAAAAUGAAAUGUUUGACGCCUUAAUGUCCCAUCCUCAAAAGCACUUGGUUACCUAUUUAGUGAUUUCCUGAGAAUACAAGUUGUUUGAAAAAGUGUCAACACAAAGGUUGGUGAGUUCAUAAGCAUUAGUAUGUAGUUAUGAAAACUUUUUCUUGUAAAAGUACUGUUCGUUCCAGAAAAUCCAAUAUUUUCCUUAAUACGUAAAAUUUAGUCUUAAAACCCAAGACCAAAAUGUAUAAGUAACAUUCCUUACUUAUAGUGAAUAAUGCAAGUUUAAAUCGACAUAAACUCGUUUGAUUUCAAUGAAAUCCCCGUAAAUCCUUUGGUUGUUAAUACUUAAUGUGAGUUAUUAUAACCAUGCUAUCACCUAGAUGGCCUGAAACGACGUUCUUCAGGCGUCGGAAAUGUUAUGAAAUUUUUCACCCCAGACCUGCUAUGCAGCUAAGGUGUGAGUUUGUUAAACCCAAUAUAGAUCUAUAUACAACUAUCACGCUUUCCCUCCAGGAGACUCUGGUUACAAUACAUGACUUAUUUGUAAAGUGAAGCGAAUGUGUCACAAAAGUCAUUAACGAAUUUAUGUGUAAUGUAAUGAAAAACCUUUUUGUAUAAAUGUCCCCUUUCGUAAUGAAUUUGUUAUGUAAAUUUAUCAUAAACUAUACCUAUUAUAGUUUAUCCAAAACGUUUGUAAUGCAAAGGAAUCCAUUUCACGUGAGUCGAAUGUAUAGCAAAAACAUAACUAUGUUUAUCAUGCCUUAUCGUGUAUUAUUUAUAAUGACAAAGGACUCUUACAAAUCAGUGAAUAAUUCCUUUUAUAUAAAUAUUCCACAACAGAAAAACAUAGGUAAAAUAUGAAACCAUCAAAGAUUAACACUUUGUUCAACAUGUUACAAAGUGUAAUGAAAGUUGUAAGCUGUCAACUUGUUUUUAACAUUUCUGCACUGUUUUGGAAAAAUCACAGAAAAAUCAUAUGAAAUCAAAAACUGAAUCCGUAAACUCUGGGAGUUUAUAAAAUGUGUCUAUUUUGUUCACAAAUUUUAUCAUGAUUUUUAGAUGUUUCUAUCUUGUGUGAAAAUGUCCAUAUUUUCAGACUCGUCCGGAUUUGUAGCUACAGUGAUAGGCAGUUUUGUAAAAAUCGCCAUAAAUUGUUGAAAAAUCGUAUGAACAUGUUCAAGUAGUCAUUUUAAAGGUAAUAACUUGAACUAUUUUCAACUAUUACAUUUUUGAAAACUAAAAUGUUUAAGUUGACCAAAACAGUCCGUGAAUGGAGUUAAACUUUUCUAAUGAAAGCUGUUGGAUAAGUUUAGUUAUGUUCUUGGUGUUUUAACUUGUAUCCCCCCCCCCUUUUCAAAACAUAAGAAAACAUCAUAAUGUAGGGGUAUGAACUCACCUUGAGUGAUUUCAGUAGAUGGAUGAUGGAGAAAAGAAGUGCUCAACUCAAUAACACUUGGGAGGUGCUUGAAGAUUUGAAGAUCUAACACAAAUAUGACGAUAUUUGUGUAAGCAAUCUAUGAUUUGGAUGAAAGAUGGUAGAAUAUCUAAGUGUAAGAGGAAGAUACUUACCAAAUGUAGAAGGAAAGCUUGGAAACAAGCCUUGAAUCUCGAAAUCUAGAGAGAGGAAGUGAGAGAGAAUGAAGUUGUCACUUGGUGGAAAAAUAGAGUAAUGUGAGGAGAGAGGAGAGUUUUCCAGCUCUUGACCAAGUGUGUGGCUGCAAAAUGGUGGGAAAAGUACUAUGGAAUGACUAGGUAUGGUUUAAUAGUGAUUGGGGGUUGUACUAUGAAGGUAUAGGGAGGAGGUUGCUUGUGUCCUUGUCCAAAGGAUAAGUCAACACUCCACCUACAUAUCUCACCAAUUAUAUUUUAUUCUUAGGCAAGGAUUUUCCCCAAAAUAUAGUUAAAAUAUGAAUAUUUAGGGUUUAUUAUGUUAAAAUACGAGUCCGGGCGAAAAUACCGCGUUAAAGUAAUUAAAAAUGGGCAAAAAUGCGAAAUUCCGAAAUUCAGGCCGAAGGUGCGAAGGUUCGGCUCCUUAGGAGCAUAGGACCCAAGGUGAGGCUUGGUUGUGCAUGGGAACCGAGAGUAGAAGAGGAACCGAGAGUAGAAGAGCAACUGAGAGUGGAGGAGUUCGGCUACGCAGGCUCGUUCCAUUUCGGUUGAGAGGGUUUCUGUUCUCAGGAGGUUCGGCUCAAAGAGGUUCGGCUCCUAAUAGGUUCGGUUCCUAAGAGGAGUUUCGGCUCCUUAGGGCUGUUUUCGCGUAGACUUCCGUUUUCGAGCUGAUUUUGUCAAAUUCGAAGGUCGGGAUGCCCCGAGUGAUUUUAAGAAGUUCAGAGAGAUUUCGAGAGAGAUUUAGGAGAGAUUUCAUAUACUUGGAGAGAUUUUGGAGAGAUUUCACAUACUUGGAGAGAUUUGGGAGAGAUUUCACAUACUUGGAGAGAUUUGGCAGAGAUUUCACAUACUUGGAGAGAUUUAGGAGAGAUUUCACAUACUUGAAGACAUUUCUCAUACUUGGAGAGAUUUGGGAGAGAUUUCACAUACACUGAGAGAUUCCUCAUACUUGGAGAGAUUUCUCAUAUAGAGAAAGAUAGAGUGAAAACGAUUGAGAGAGGUUUUGUUUGUGACAUUUUUAAGUGUCCGGCUUCGCAACGCAAGGUCCGUAAACCCCGUUAAGCCAUGUUUAAGGGUCCUAAACGCUCCCGAUGAGUAUGCAACAUUAUUUUAUCGGUUUGGUUCAUUACUUACCAUAGUUUAGGUUAAGGAAGUCUAGAUAUACGAAUUUUUCAAUUGAUGAUUUCUAAUUAGAAUAGCGAGUUGUAUAGUAAUUACAUAGCGUAAACCCUAGUAUACAAGGGUUAACUGAGUUAACCGGUUUUACUUGUUGACAUUGUUUGACUUUGACUUGACCAAAAUUUGACGGUUGUCACACUUAAUGUGCUAGACAUUUGGAAAAUUUUAGAAUGGUCUAAUAUUAUAGCAUUUGCAAUCGAUCCUCUACCCGAAGCGUAUGGGACACGAUGCAUAUUGUCUUACAUAAAGAUAUGAUACUUUAUCAAUCUUCUACCAUAAUAUUUUAUGUGUCACGUUCUCACAAUUCGAACUAUGAAAAGGGAUGCCGUAAUCAUAAUCAAAAUUUGAGAACACACUAGGUAUCCUUUGACUAUAUUUAUUAAAAUUUCUUAAUCUAAGCUUUAGAUUUUUUAACGAAGUAUAAUAUUCUCUCCCUUAUUUAUAGAAAAACAACUUUUCAACCUAUGCAACCUUGCAAAUUGAAUCUUUGUUUUUCUAUAAUUAAUAUUGCCAAAUUGCAAUACUUGCCAUAAUAAUCAUACAAGCAUAACACUAUACUCCCACUAUCAUGAUGAUUAUUAUCAUAUAAGAACAACACUUAUGCUCCCACUAGCUUUGACAUGUAUUCAAAAAAUAGUUGAACUUCCAAAACACAAUGCCUAUUGAAUUUUUGAUGUUCAUAUUUCUAAUACCGGAUGCUUCAAUAAGCCUUUAUCUAAGCUUCUUAAACUUAUACACCCUUGCCUUAGAUAGCUCAUAAGUGUGUCUCAACAAUUCAGAACUUAUAUCAAUAAAUGCCAAAUGUUGGACUAAUUGCCAAAUCUCACAAUUCGAACUAUGGAAAGGGAUGUUGCAACCAUAAUCGAAUUUUUGAAUACAAUUUUCACAAUUGCUAUCUUCUUAAAAUCUCUCUUAGUGAAAGCAUUUUCUCGCAGUCAUUUUCAAGAAAGAGGGAAUCUUAUGACGCUUAGAUUUUAUGGUGUAUGAGUUCCUAUCCAUGUGAAUUUUCCAAUAACAAGCUUGCAACAAAUCCCAACUCAUAUGGAUUGAACUUUCUUGAUUUCUAGCCUUAUGGUAACACGGGUGCCGACCAUGUCUUCCAAGUAGUUUAGCAACUUAUCCUUACAUAUAAAUGUACUUUCCAUCGAUAAACAUCCUUUGUCUUUAUGCAUUCAAAUGAUAACUCAUAGAACUCACAUACAUAAUUAACUCAAUUAGAAUGGCAUAGAAACGAAAUAAUGUAAACACAAUAGGUUGUAAAUCUCAAGUCGUGUGCUAGUGAUGAUCGAUAAUGUAACAUCCCAAUUUCCAAAGGUAUUGUUGAAGGGCUUAAAGUGUAAAUUAAGGAAGGGGACUCGACGAGUAGGCAUGCUUACUUGCCGAGUCGAAGCGGGGUUUGACCGCGGUUUAAGUAACCAACUCGCCGAGUCGGCGGCUGAACUCGACGAGCUGGUGUUGAAGAGAGGAAACCCUAAUCUUGGGGGUUGCCACCUAUUUAAAUGACUUUAUGUCCUUUUCGCAACCUCCUUAGCACCAUCUUGAGACAGAGAAACCCUAAAUCAUGAAAGACUCCAUUGUUGAGGAGAUUGCGGCUUAAAACAAGAAAUUGGUGAAGAGAAGUUGCAGGAGUUUGAGGAUAGCAUGAAGAGAGCUUGUGCAUCUAAAGUCUACAUCAGUUUAGACUCAUCUCUAAGGUAAGAGGACCUUACAUUAAGCUAUUUCCUUGUUAUUGAUGGGUUUUGAGCAUUAUAACACUUCCUAAGUGUACAUGCAACCCUAAUAACCUCGGAUCUAUGUUUGUCUAAUAAUCAUGCAAAGUUGUUUUCAAAGGUUAUGAACCUAUCUAGCAUACGUGGGGUACAAUUUUCUUUGUAUAAAAGAUAGAACUACAUACCUUGUUGUUGAAAGUGUUCCUUGAAACCUUGUGAGCCUAGCACCUCAAGUGUGAUGCAUUAAAUGCUUCACACAACACCAAAUGCAAAGAAAAAACUUGAGAGAAUACUCUAACACAUGCAAAAUCGGCCAAGCCCUCUUGUUUCGUAUGUGUAACCGAUUUUGGGGAGAGUUACACUGUUUAUAUAGUGUGUUGCAUUAGGUAAACCCUAAUGCUCCAUGACUCUUCAUUUCUUUAUCCAUGGGUCAACUCCAUGGAGCAUCCAUGGAUUAUCUUAUGGGUGGAACCCAACUUGAUAAUCCAUGAAGCCUCUUAGCCCUCUAUAUAAGAUAUAGAAGAUUUACUUAAUCUACCCAUAUAUCUAAUUAGUUAUCUUUUGAUCACUUAAUUAAUUUUUGAUCAAAACUAAUUAAAUAAUAUUAUUAAUAUAUUACAACUUAUAAUAUAUUAAUAAACCAUAUGUGUUAUUUCUCUCAUUUAGUUUAUCCAAUUGCAUGGUGCCAUGCAACCCAAAUGGACCAUGCCGGGUCGGGUCAAGUACUUACCAGAAAUAGUUAUGGACUUAGACACCUUAUCCAACAGUCUCCCACUUGGAUAAGUCUAAUAACUAUAACUGCAAUACUUCAGGAACCGAUCGGCAAUCGUAGCUCUUUGAAGGUCUCUCGGAACUGAGAAGAUGUUGAUACGCCAUUUAAGAUAAGUGAUCAUAUAAUCCUCUGUUCUAGAUAUCAGCCAGACAAAUACAUGGAACAAUGUCUUACUCACUGUCCAGCAUUUUGUUUCCCGAUUCCCUAUUUGUUUGACAAAGAACUUAAUUGAACACAUCAACUUAGUUCUGAUCGGGCCCGGUACAUAGGUCAAAACAAAAUCAUUGAGGGGCCCAGAUAUCAGCUUCUAAUCCAAGAAGGGACAGAUAAACUUCAACUCAUAUGUUUGUUCUACUACUAGUUGAAUUAUACACAAAAGCACGUUUUAUAACAUCAAGUUACCAAUGCGUUUUCGUACAAUCAAUGCAUAAUCAAUUCAUAGGAAACAAAUCAUAUCUCUAGGUUUGAAGACUUAUAUGAUAUUACCGUCUCACGAUCACUCGAGAUAAAAAUUCCAUGAAGUGAUUCCAGUGAGCGNUGAUUCCAAUGCUCAGAACAUAUGAGCACUCAUGAAGUGUUAUCUUAUAUCCUGACACCUACAACCAACUUCAUGACAGUCUUACCUCAUAUCUACUUCCAACAUAUGACUGACUGUGGAAAAAUUUGAAUAAUAUGUGAAACCACAACAUACUAUUCUGGAAGUCAAAACAUGCAAAAGAACUUACAGUAAACGAUUGACAAAAGAUAGCAACACUUUACUCAUGAAUAAACACAACUUUUAUUCAUCAUCAAAUGUCAAUUACACUUUACAAAUUUCAUAAUUUAUCUAACUACUAAAACUUAUAUCAUCCUUCAGCCCUAUGCUCCGAGCAUGCUGGAGAUGCUUAACCCUACUCAGUCCCUUCGUGAGGGGAUCUGCUGGGUUCUCAUCCGAUGAUACCCUCUUUGCCACGAGGAUUCCUUCUUCUACGCGAUGUCAGAUAAAAUGAUAUUUUAUGUCGAUGUGUCUGGAUCUCCCAUGAUCCCUUGGUUCCUUGGCUAAGGCAAAAACACUUUCACUAUCACAUAAAAUUUUCAUGGGCUCGUUUAUAGCUGGUACUACUCCAAGGUCUCCUAUGAAGUUCUUCAGCCAUAUAGCCGCCUUUGCAGCCUCGCUUGCUGCUAUAUACUCUGAUUCACAACUGGAAUCAGCCACUGUCUCCUGCUUCGAACUCUUCCAAGUGAUUUCUCCUCCAUUUAGGGUGAAGACCCAGCGCGACUGAAAGUGGAAAUUAUCCCUAUUAGUCUAGAAACCAGCAUCACAAUACCCUACAACUCUCAAGUCGUCACUCCCACCGAGGGUAAGGACCCAGUCCUUAGUCCUCCGUAGGUACCUGAGGAUAUUCUUUAUCGCAGUCUAGUGAGCCUUGCCAGGGUUCCCCUGAUACCUGCUAACCAUGCUCAAGGAAAAGGCUACAUCAGGUCGAGUACAAUUCAUAGCAUACACGAUCGGGCCUACUGCCAAAGCAUAAGGCACUCGACUCAUUACUGCUAUCUCAGCCUCAGUACUAGGGCAUUGUAUCUUACUCAAUCUGGCGUUACUCUGGAUGGGUAACUCUCCUUUCUUGGAGUUCUGCAUGUUGAAUCUCUUCAACACCUUGUCCAAGUAGGUACUUUGACUAAGUCCAAUUAGUCUUUUACUCCGGUCUCUCAAAAUCCUUAUCCCUAGAAUAUAGGCAGCUUCUCCUAGGGCGUUCAUAGAGAAACACUUCCCAAGCCAGGACUUAACUUCCUGCAGAGUUGGGAUGUCAUUUCCUAUGAGUAGUAUGUCAUCCACAUACAAUACCAAAAAGCUAAUUAUACUCCCACUAGCCUUGACAUACACCCAAGAUUCAUCUUCACUCCUAGUAAAGCCAAAUUCCUUGACCUUCUCAUCAAAGCAAAGAUUCCAUCUGCGAGGUGCUUGCUUUAAUCCAUAAAUGGAUUUCUCAUGCUUACACUCUCUAUUAGCGUACUCGUUACUGACAAAACCUUAUGGCUGACUCAUGUAAACAUCUUCAGUCAACUUUCCAUUAAGGAAAGCGGUUUUGACAUCCAUUUGCCAUAUUUCAUAGUCAUGAAAUGCAGCUAUGGCUAACAUAACCCUAAUAGACUUAAUAUUGGCUACUGGAGAAAAAGUCUCACAAUAAUCCACUCUAGGAGUUUGAGAGAAGCCCUUUGCAACCAGCCGAGCCUUAUAAGUAUGCACACAACCAUUCAUGUCGGUCUUCUUCUUGAAGAUCCGUUUGCACCCUACAGUCUUACGACCUGGUACAUUUUCAACCAAGUUCCAAACUUGAUUGUCAUACAUGGAUUGUAUCUCGCUAUCCAUAGCCUCUUUCCAUUUAGCAGACUCGGGGCCUGCCAUGGCUUCCGCGUAGCUGUUAGGUUCAUCCAGACCUACUAGUGUCUCAUCACUAAUAAGUGUCUCACCUUCCGCAGUAAUAUGGAAACCAUAGUAAUGCUCAGGUGCAUUCCUAACUCUCGUGGAACGCCUCAGAGGUACAGACUCGUCAAUUGGCUCAACAGGAGUUUCCUCCUCAAGUUGAGGGCUAGGGUUUGAAGUUCCUUCACCACUUGAUUCUUGAAUUUCUUCAAGAUCAAUUUGCCUCCCACUGUCUCCUUGGCUUAUAAACUCUCUUUCUCGAAAGACUCCUCUUCUUGCUACAAAGACCACAUUGUCACUAGGUCUGUAGAAGAGGUAACCAAAGGAUCGUUGUGGGUAACCGAUGAAAAUACACCUCUCGCUUCGAGGUUCGAGCUUAUCAUGAGUCUCGCGUCUCACGAAAGCCUCGCAACCCCAAAUCUUGAUGUGGUCUAGUGAGGAGUUUUGGCAACUUUCUUUGUAGGGACUAGAUUAAGGAUAUGGGCGACAGUCUCUAAGGCAUACCCCCAUAAUGAGAUUGGUAGUGAAGCUCAACUCAUCAUGGAACGAACCAUAUCCAACAAGGUUCGAUUACGCCUCUCAGCUACACCAUUCAACUGUGGUGUCGUGGGAGGUGUCAAUUGUGAGACAAUCCAACAUUCCCUAAGAUAGUCAAGGAACUUUGAACUAAGAUACUCACCACCUCGAUCGGAUCGAAGCAUCUUAAUGUUCCUGCCUAACUGAUUCUCGACUUCCUGUCAAAACUCCUUACAUCUUUCGAAAGUCUCUGACUUAUGCUUGAUUAAGUUGACAUAUCCAUAUCUACUGUAGUCAUCAGUAAAAGUCAAAUAAUAACGAUUAGCAUCCCUUGUAGCAUCUUUGAAUGGUCCACACACAUCUGUGUGUACAAGGUCCAACAAACCAUCACCCCUCUCGCAAGAACCUGUGAAGGGAAACUUUGUCAUUUUUCCAACUAAGCAUGAUUCGCAACUAUCAUCUAACUUUAGGUCACAUGACUCCAAGACUCCAUCCUUUUGGAGUUGGCCUAUGUGUUUCUUGCUUAUAUGUCCAAGACGACAAUGCAAUAAUGACGCUUUAUCCAAGUUAUUAUUAUUAGGAGAAUCAAUAUACAAAACAUUAUUUCCUAAGUUGUCAACCACAGAUACAGUUUCAUACACACCAUCACAAGGUAAUGCUUUAAAAUAAUGAAUAUUAUUAAAGAAAGCAUUAAUCGAACCCACUUCAUUAUCAAAUGAAAAGGUAAAACCUUGUUUAUACAAUGCAUGAAAGGAAAUAAUAUUUCAUGCCCAGAUAUCAGCUUCCAAUCUUGGUGACAGGUGAAGCUUUCCUAUUUCCCAUGAUCAAGUUUAUACUUCCUUGCUCCACAUUCUCACUUCCUAUUAGUCCCUGGAAAUCAGAACAUAUAUGAAUACCACAACCGGUAUUAAGGACCCAUGAGUUAGAAUGGGGUGAGUUAUUAGAUAAGAUAGUGUAAAUACCUGCAUGGUUGGGUUUGACUUUCCCAUCCUUCACAUCUUGUUGGUACUUUGGACAGUUCUUCUUCUAAUGUGCCUUUUCAUGGCAAUAGAAGCAUUCAGCCUCUUUUGGGUAAGAAGAAAGAGUGAUGAAACCUUUCUUGGUUCCACUUGAAGAAGAGCCAUCAAGGGUCCUAGACUUGGUACCCUUCAAAGAUAGGGGCAGAGUUGGUAGGAGUAGGAGUAGUAACAACCGCCUUACCCUUAAGACCACUUUCCGCGGUCUUUAAGAAUCCUUGAAGUUUGCUGAGAGUGACCUCUUCCUUGUUCAUGUGGUAUGCCAUGUGGAAUUGAUCAUAACAUGAAGGUAAGGGGUGUAAAAUGAUAUCUAUUGCAAGCUCCUCGGGGAAGUUCACAUUAAGCUUCAGCAAACGGUCCACAAAUCUUUGCAUUUUCUGCAUGUGGCACGUGAUGGGUUAACCAUCCUUCAUUCGGGUUGUUAUCAUGGAAGAGAUGAUUUCAUACCUCUCUUGUCUUGCACUUUGAUGAUAUCUUUCCAUCAAAUCUUGGUGCAUUUCAAAAGGGUAGAAAUUCUUGUAGGACUUUUGGAGGUCGGCUAUCAUAGUGGCCAUCAUGAUGCAUGCCACCUUGGUGGCAUGUAACAACCCGAAAUUCGUAACAUUGCUUGUAAUCCUUUUCGUAACCCAUUUCGUUAAUCCAUUCGUCGUUUCCAAUUUCGUUUCUGAUUUCACAAUUUAAUUAAGUCAUUAAUUUGAGUUUGAUAUUAUGACUUAAUGGGUGUCCGAACACGUUUAGAACUCAUUUUAACACCCCAUUCUAGUAGUCGUAAAAUUUUUAGAAUUAACCAUACCGGGUUACGGCAACUUGAUCGGGUGCGACCAAAAGCCCCGUCUAACGCUGGUAUUACAAUUCCACCCUGUCCAAAUCUUAGACACUAUUUAAAGAUGAUUAAGCUUCCAUUUAAAGCUUUUUCUCCCUCUCACUACUUUCUCUCUAACCCCUCUCCUCAAUCAAAGAUUCAAGGUCCAAAACAUUGAAUUAAGGCUCCAAAUCUUUGAGGUAACAUUCCUAACUUGUUAUUCAACCUCUUAGACCUUCAAAUUCGUGUUUAAACAUUGAAAAAGGACCAUCAUCAUGAGUUUAUGACCGUGGAGCAUGCUUGGGCCGUAAACUCAAGUAAAUUGGGUUUUGAGCACUUAAACCCCUCCAAACCAACUUUGGGACUUAGAUACGACUAUAUGGCUUAUCAUUCUGGAUUUAGAACACCCUAAACAUGGAUUUUGAGGAGCAAACAUGAGUUUACUGCCCAAGAACAUGCUUGGGCCAUAAACUCAUCACUCAUGGGUGGUAAACUCAUUUUCAAGUGUUAAAAAGCCAUGUAAACACACCAUUAGCCUUUGAAUAAAUCCUAGAACCAACCAAAAUUAGCUUGGGGACCUUAAACAUGGUGAAAUCCUUCCAUUUGAGUGUUUACGACCAUGACUCCGCUAUAACAAGUUCCAGGGCCGUAAACUCCUUUACAUAGCUCAAAUGGUGCCCAAAAUUCAUCCCAAGGCUUAGAAAAAUAGUUUGAAUCACAUGUGAUUGUCCUAGCAUCACUAAAUAAAUUAAGUAAUGGGUAAGAGGAAGUUUACGGCCGUAAACUCCAUGUUUACUGUCAUAAACUCCAAUAAAUGGUACUUAAGUGAAUUCAAUCCAUUCCAAGGCCCUAUAAUUAAUCCUAGCUAGUUUUCCCAAGUGUUAGCAUGCCAUUUAGCACCAUAAAAACCCCCAACCAUGAGUUCACGGCCGUGAACUCAUGUGUGUGUUCUGUAUAGGUCCGUAAACUCCAUAAGGAGUUUACUCUUGAAGAGUAAACUCAAUUCCCAAGUCCCACAUGUCCGUAGAUGUCACCCGGGUCACUCCAAACACUUGUUUUGAAGUGUUUUUGCUCAUUGGAGUGUAUUAUCAUAUCUAAUUAGUGGUUUAAAAAUCUAAUUAAAUACAUUUGGAUAUUAUUUCAUAUUACAUAGGAACCUCGCGUGUUAGCAAGCCCCGAACCAACGUUUAGCAUCCAAACAGUCGCGUUUUCUCGUCUGGUGAGUUCAUACCCCUACCCUUUUUCACUGUUUUCACUGUUUUCAGGGGGAGAAUACAAGCAAAGUACAAGGGACUACUUGUACUCAAAACUUGUUUGACAUGUGUGUGUUUCAUAUCUCAUAUGCUUUUUUAACAUUGAUUGUUAUAACUGAUAAUUGUUUGAACAUGCGGAGCACGUAAACAUAUAUUUGUGAAAUGGGUUAUAAACAGUUAUGUUUUAUAUAUUUCACAAAUGGUUAUCCAUAUUUUAUCAGUUAAAAGCAUGACAUUUGAACCUUUAACAUAAAAGUUAGUACACUGUUUUGUCCUCGGUAACACUCCACAGAGAUACGUGAGUGGAGGAUAAUCGUAUUAUUACUAGUAAAUUUGUUAAUCCUAUAUAAUUGGAGACACGUCCUCGGUGAACACUUAUUGCCAUAUCUAGUCUAUUCUAUGGUUAUUGAACUCACAAUUAGGAUAACAGAGAUUUACUUAAUAGUAAUAAUGAAUAAACUAAUUAAUUUACUUUGUAUAUAUUAGUUUUAUAUACGUGUUAAAACUAAUACACUUCACAAGGAUAACCAUGUUUUUCAGUAUACAUGUUUCACAUUUGGUAACCACCAUUCAGGAAAAUAUGGGAUUUUCCUGGGGAACAUUUAUACAUAACUAGAAAAGUGUAACAAACUAGAUAACUUUGCAUUUCAUAAGGGUAAACAUGUUUUCAGUGUACAUCUUUACUUCACAUUUUGGAUUCAAUAACCAACUUUUAAGAAAAUAUGGGAUUUUCUUAGUGUGUAACAUUUUCCAAAACGGAAAGGAACUUAUACAUUUUCCAUAAAACAAAACCGCUUAUGAACUCACCAGCGUUAUGCUGAUUUUCAAACUGCUUGUAUUCUAAGGUCCGUAUUAGACAGGUACCCGAUGAUUCCUUUUGGCGAAGAUGGAAUGUGCAGAAGGCUCGUCUCCUAUUGUUCAUAUAUACUAUGUAUCACUUGUAUAACUUUACUUUUGAAACAAAUGUAAACUUUUAUGUAUGUAAUGUAAUGGUUGUUUACUUUACUUACUAUGAGCAUUGGAUUUGAUACUCAACGUGGAGUCAACCCCGGAAAUGCUUCCGCCUUCGGUUUUCGGGGUGUGACAUGGCAUCCUUUUCAUGUGCCCUAAAGUCAGCGAUCUCUUGAGGAGUAGCAACUGUCUCAUCCAUCUCCUUAAGCUCCUUAUCGAGGACAUAUUAUUUGUCCUCGUAGCGGGUAAUCAUUCGGAUGUUUCUGAUCCGUUCAUUAAAGUUGGAUCCAUUAAAAAUGACUUUCCCACNAAGUUAUUAAAAAAAAGGGAGCCAUUAGGAUUAUAGCCACAAGCAGCAGUGUUUGCAGACAUCUGAAAAGAAGAAAAGUUUAGCUUAGAAAUAGAGAUAGUCCUUAAUAAAACACCCAAAUGUAGUAUUAAGGCUAGGACCAAUCACAAUAUAUUAUACUUAGAAGAGGUAUGUCGUAAUCUAAGUAAUAACAUAUUUGAAAGGUAGGUGAAUGAUGAUUCAGCAAUUUCCACCAAAGACGAAAUAUUAAAAUAUUUAAGUUGGUUCUUAGAAACUCCGAGAUUCUUUUGAGACUCAAUGAACUUUUCAAAGGCAUGUUUCAAUCUCGCGUGUGCCCUCCAUGUUUUGUGACUGGGAUGUCGAGGAUCACAAAACGAGGUGUGAAGUAACCAUGCAAAUUACUUGGUACCCUUAAUGUGUUACCCCUCAAUCGAUGUGCCAGUUAACCACACACGCUCCAUCGAUACUAUGAUAAACAUUAAGUCACCCUUUACCUACCUUGUUAAGUUCAAGUUAGUGUGUCAGUUAACCACACACGCUCCACUAACGACUUAAACAAAGUGUAAAGUGUAAUUUCAUGGAUUAGCACCUUAUUCACAUUUUUCCUAAAGUAACUAAGAUUAGGAAUUUAAUAAAACAUUUAGUUACUUUAUAAUUAUCAUUAUACUUUUAAUGAGAAUUUAUAAGUCCUUGUCCUACCCGUUCGGCUAACGACCCUCCACCAGUCAAGCAAGCGGUGGGUGAGAGUGGACACCCAUUAAGUUGACAUUUUAUAGGCAACAACCUUAUACCCACCUUAUAGACUAGCUUCGUGAAUGAGGCGUACUAGCGGUAAGACGACUUUGAUCUUAUACAUAUAUAUAUUAUUAUUAACUUAUAAUAUUAUAAGUAUAAGGGUUGAAUUUAAACUUUUAAAAUUUCUAAGGGUUUGAACUAAUGUUUUAAUCAAGACUUUACAUGAUCCAAAACUUGAGGGAAAGUUUUGUAAACUUUCAAAACUUUUCAUUUCUUGUAACUUAUGAGUUAAUUAGAGUAUUAAAAAUGAAGACUCUUCAUUUUUAUAACCCAUGUGUUCUUUGAAUGGUUUUAAAACAAAGUGACUUUUGGUUUUCCAUAACUUGACGACAUGUUAUGGACUCCAUUAAAACACAUAAUGAUCAUAAAUUAAUCUACCACAUAGGUUACAAAUAAUUCUUAUGAUCAUCUAAACAUCAUAAGAUCAAGAAUAUGAAUAUGAACACUUUCAUGAAUCAAAAAUUACACUAAAAAACUUGUAAUUUUGAUAAUUUGUCAAUGUAAAUGGAUUAAAAUGAACAUUACACAAACUAAAACAAGUUUUAAAACACCAAAACAGUUUAGGGUAGUGUUCCUAGUCCAUUUCCAGCAACAAAAAUCGAAAUUCUGGAAACUACAGCCUCUACUCGUCGAGUGCAUGAACUGACUCGACGAGUAGCUUGUAUUUGGUCAUGGACUCAUCGAGUCCCCCCAUGGACUCGGCGAGUUCAUACCGGCAGAAAGCAGAAAACUCGAUUUUUCAAGCAGCUUGCACAAAAAUCAAACAAGCAAGCCUAGGCUCUGAUACCACUGAUGAGUUUUGAGCAUUCUAACACUUCCUAAGUGUACAUGCAACCCUAAUAACCUUGGAUCUAUGUUUGUCUAAUAAUCAUGCAAAGUUGUUUUCCAAGGUUAUGAACCUAUCUAGCAUACAUGGGGUACAAUUUUCUUUGUAUAAAAGAUAGAACUACAUACCUUGUUGUUAAAAGUGCACCUUCAAACCUUGUGAACCUAGCACCUCAAGUGUGAUUCCUCAAAUGCUUCACACAAAACCAAAUCCAAUGAAUAAACUUGAGAGAAUACUCUAACACAUGCAAAAUCGGCCAAGCCCUCUUGUUUCUUAUGUGAAAACCAAUUUUGGGGAGAGUUACAUUGCUUAUAUAGUGUUUUGCAUUAGGUAAACCCUAAUGCUCCAUGACUCUUCAUUUCUUGAUCCAGGGGUUAACUCCAUGGAGCAUCCAUGGAGUAUCUUAUGGGUGGAACCCAUCUUGUUAAUCCAUGGAACGUCUUAGCCCACUAUAUAAGAUAUGGAAGAUUUACUUAAUCUACCCAUACUUCUAAUUAGUUAUGUUUUGAUCACUUAAUUAAUUCUAAAUUAAUUCUUGAUCAAAACUAAUUAAAUAAUAUUAUUAAUAUAUUAGAACUUAUAAUAUAUUAAUAAGCCAUAUGUGUUAUUUCUCUUAUUUAGUUUAUCCAAUUACAUGGUGCCAUGCAACCCAAAUGGACCAUGUCGGGUCGGAUCAAGUACAUACCAGAAACAAUUAUAGACUUAGACACCUUAUUUAACAGUUAUUUCAUCCAUGGUGUGUGAUUUAGGGUUCUUUAGCAUGGUUGGGAUCUAUUUCAGGUAUAGAGACUACAUCUGAGGUUGCAACUUCAGAUCUAGGUUGGUUUGGAGCCAUAAGAUCAGAAAGUGAUAGCUUUGGGGUGUGAUUGAGAGUGUCCUUGCCUUAAAACCUUCAUUUUUAGCUUGUUGGAGCUUGUUGAGCUUUGCAUACAUGUAAAGUUGGAAAAUUUAUGUGUGAAUCUGUUCCUAGGAGUCCAGAUCUAUUUAUUGGAAGCAAUGCAAUGGCCUGUGAUCGUCUGAAUGAGGAUGUCACAAAUGGACUCGGCGAGUCAGGCUAAGGAUCACACUUUGAGUCACGUAGUAACUCGGCGAGUCUCAUGGGUGACUCGGCGAGGAGUAGGAUGAUGAGCUUGGACUCGGCGAGUUAGAAGAACAACUCAGCCAGUCUGUUGAAUAUUGCCUUGGACUCGACGAGUCUGGUCAUGAAUUCCAAACCUUUUCUAGGUGAGCUGUGAAUCGGUGAGUCGAGGGAUGACUCGUUGAGUUGAGCAGGAAGGGACUUUGAGCUUGUUGAACUCGACGAGUCUUAACGCGACUCGGUGAGUUGAGUCAUGGCAUUGGGGAAAUUCUGAGCAUAGGAACUCGACGAGUCAACGGGUUGACUCAGCGACUAGGGUCAACCAGGAAGGCUGACUUUGACUUGGACCAAGGGUUGACCAAUUUGACUUCCAAGGGUAUUUUGGUAAUUAUUGGUAUUUGUUGGUUUUGGAUAUUUGGCAAUGAUCAGUGGUGGAGUUUUUGCUGGUGGUCGGAGCAGCGUGGUAUUAUUUCUUCAAGUCGGCAAUUGCAGGUGAGUUAUCCUCACUAUACCAAGGGUCUAAGGCACCAAGGUCGGUCCUUUGAAUUGUUGUUUGGAGUUGUUUAUGUUUAUGUGAUGUUAUGCUUGCUAGUAUCCUGGUUGAUAGGACAAUGAUAUGAGGAUAUGCUUGUUAGCUUAGCCCUAGAGAAAGGGACAGUUAAGUGAUGGUUAGUUCUUUUGGAUCAGCAACCUAGUAGUUGAGUAGUGGUUAAGAGUAUAGACCGGUAUUUGGUCUUGUCUUAUGUACGCUAUUCGGAGGUUACCAGCGGGUUAGGUAUGUUGAGCAGUAGUAGAGGGUAUUCCAUCCAGGUAGGAUGAUAAGGCCUUAGUGUGUUGGUUAUGUAGAAUGUUAUGUGGUUGCCUGUGUGACAACCCGAAACUUCUAACCCAUGUAAUUGAUCUGUGUUUCAGCACUAAAACUUGAGUUCAUUGUCUUUUAUUAAAUCUUGUGAUUCCAUAGGGGUGCUUUAGACUUAGUAUAAUCUAGAUGUGAGUCUUAGGAAGGGUUGGAGAGUGUUUAGUAUCACAAAAUAGGGCCAAAUCUCUCAAAAUAAGGUGUGUGCGUCCACACACCUGUGUGUAUGGCCACAUACCAACCGCAAACACCCUCAACCUCACACCCAAUUCAAUUUAUGGAUGGAUACCCCCCCUUUCAUUCAUUCAUUUAGAUGUUCUCUUCCCUCUCUCUACUUUCUCUCUCUAAAUCAUCAACCAAGAACACUUAGAAGGCUUCAUAAUCGUGAUCUAUUUCAUCUUCAAGCUAAGUAUAGUGGUAAACACCUGAAUCCCAAGCUUAAAACUCAUUAUAUUUUCAUAUUCAUCAUCCCAUGAAGGUGUACGGCCGCACACCUUCAUAUGGGGGCAGCACACAUUAAAAACACCCAAGUAUGAAGAGUAUACACUUCAAAAAUCAACAUAUGGACUCAAAUGAGGAGUGUACAACCACACUCUCUUGUGUGCUGCCUCACACACACUCCUGGCUGCACUCCCCAGCCGCACACUCAUUUUCAAGACCAUACACCCACUCUAAUACCCAUAUUUAGUCCGAAACUUGCAUAAAUCAUUAAGUUUGGAUCAUAGGACACUUAUUCUAAGUAAUUCGAAGCCCUAAGAAUGUUUUCCCAUCAUGUUUAGUCAUGAAACACCUUAGUUCUAACUCAUUUAUGUGUCGUCACAUGAAAAAUAGGGGCCAUAGGAGUUCAAGGCAUCCGGUGACACUCGAACUCUACAUUAAGCGGUGAGUUCAUACCCCUACCCUUUUUCACUGUUUUUAACUGUUUUCAGGGGGGAACACAAGCAAUGUACAAGGGGUUUCUUGUACUCAAAACUUGUUUUCAUGUGUGUGUUUCACAUUUUAUAUGCUUUUAACACUGAUCGUUACAACCGAUAACCGUUUGAACAUGCAGAUCACGUAAACAUAUAUUUGUGAAAUGGAAUUUAAAUUGUUAUGUUUUACAUAUAUUUCACAAAUGAUUUUUCACAUUUUAUUAGUUAAAAGCAUGACAUUGAACCUUUGAGCAUAGAACUUGUACACUGUUUUGUCCUCAGUAACACUCCACAGAGAUACGCGAGUAGAGGAUUAGCAUACUAUUACUAGUAACUUUGUUAGUCCUAUAUGAUUGGAGACAUGUCCUCGGUGAACACUCCACAGAGAUACGUGAGUGGAGGACUACACCCGUAACCAGAAUCUCUGGUUUUAGAGAGCGUGACUUGAGUUUAUAGAUCUAUACGGGGCUGACUCCCCCACACCUGGCUGCUAGCUACAGCCGAUCUGAAAUGGUUCAAGGGUGACGAAAGUCAUAAGGUGAUGUGGACUACUUAUUGCCACAUCUAGUCUAUUGUAUGGUUAUGGAACUCGCAAUUAGGAUAACAGAGGUUUACUUAGCAUUAAUAAUGAAUAACUUAACACAUUUCACAAGAUAACCAGGUUUCAGUAUACAUUUUCUUUACAUUGGUAACCAACAGUCAGGAAAGUAUGGGACUUUCCUGGGGAAACAUUUUACAUAAUUAGAAAAGUGUAACAAACCAGGUAACUUUACAUAUCAGAAGGGUAAACAUGUUUUUUAGAAUUCAUCUUUUACAUUUGAUAACCAACAAUUUAGGAAAGUAUGGGAUUUUCCUGGGAAUACAUUGUACCUAACUAAAACAGAUAACCUAACUAUACAUUUCCACAAGAAUAUACGUGUUUUUAGUGUACUACUUACUUUUCAUGUUGAGAAACAAUAACCAAUCUUUUUAAGAAAAUAUGGGAUUUUUCUUUGGGUGUGUAACAUUUUCAGAAACAGAAAGGAAACUUGAACAUUUUUACAAAACAAAACUGCUUAUGAACUCACCAGCAUUAUGCUGAUUAUCAAACCGCUUGUGUUCUGAGGUCAGCAUUAGACAUGUACCUGAUGAUCUCUUUUUGCAAAGACGGAGUGCGAAGAAGACUUGUCUCGUUUUAUUUAUAUAUACAAAGUAUCACAACUGUACAACUUAUUUUUGAAACAAAUGUAAAACUUUUCAAUACGUAAUGUAAUGGUUGUUUUACUUUACUUACUAUGUGCAUUGGAUUUGAUACUCAACGUGGAGUCAACCCCGGAAAUGUUUCCGCCUUCGGUUUUCGAGGUGUGACAGCCUAUUAUGUGUAUAUGUUUGCUAGAGUAGUUGGCAUUCCAACCCGAUGGUUGUGGUCCAUGAGUAUUCCAUCCUCGCAGGAUGAUUGGACUCAUAAUAGGUUGGCAUUCCAACCCGAUGGUUGAGGGGCCUGGGGUAUUCCAUCUUGAGGGAUGAUUGGACCCAUAGUAAUAGUUAUAGUACAUAUAGGAAGUGGGGCAUUCCAACUCGUUGGUUGUGGGCCAGGAGUAUUCCAUCCCGGUAGGAUGAUCGGACUCGUAGUAUGUUGGCAUUCCAACCCGAUGGUUGAAGGGCCUGGGGUAUUCCAUCUUGCGAGAUGAUUGGACCUGUAGUAGUUAUUGUUGUGUGUAUAGGAGCGUGGGCAUUCUAACCCGAUGGUUGUGGGCCGAGAGUAUUCCAUCCCAGUAGGAUGAUUGGACUCGUAGUAUGUUGGCAUUCCAACCCGAUGGUUGAGGGGACUGGGGUAUUCCAUCCCGAGGAAUGAUUAGACCCAUAGUAUGUUGUUCUUUGUUGUAUACAUAUUUUUAUGUGUAUAUGGGUACUUUGGGGGAACUCACUAAGCUUUCGGGCUUACAGUUUUGGUUUAUUGUUUCAGGUACUUCACGAGAUUGUGGCAAGGCGAAGGCGUGAUCGUACCGCUCCUUAUGUUUAUGUUUUUAUGAUAUGGUUCUGGAAAAUACUCUGAUGUUUAAACUAUUUUGAAAACAAGUUUUAUUAAUUUAAUGGUGUUUUAAUGAAAUCAAAUGUUUUAAAUUGGUUGAAACUUUAUGGUCGUUACAGAUAAGGUUUAUUCUUGAUUUGUUCUUGAAACCCUUUUCAUGAUCAUUAAAACUCCCACUGACUCCUUGACAUAUAAAGUUCUCUUGUCAAGAAAUAUUUCUUGACAAAAAAAUAUUCAAGAGUUAGUGUAGUUGUUAUCAAGACAAAACACUUCACAUAAUAGGUCCUAGUUGGUCUUUGUCGUAUCCAAUACAACAUAACUUACCAAUUUCAAAUGUGCAAGAAUAAGAAAACUUUUCCAAAUUCCACAUUUGUUGAGUGUUAUAAACCUUCUUAAGACUUUGUCACUUAAUUCACAAUCUUGGAGUAUAACUCUAAGACUUGAUAUUGGAAUGAAUUAUGAUUGACUUCUUGUUUUAACCAUUUCCAUAAUUCUCGAUUCCUCUUCUUAGACAUACAAAUGUACUAAGACUCACUUAGAGGACCUAUUGAGAUAAGGUUCUUAAUCAUUAAGACUUUAUCAUAAAACACAAUAAAAGUUAUUCUCCCUUCUUCUUAGAAUAGAGAAACUUUUAUCUUUCUGCCUACUUGAUUCUUCUUAUUCGUUCUGUCAUUCAUUCAAACUCUUCCAAUAAACUCAGAAUUUCACUUAUUCUUAUACGUAUAAUCAUAUUUACUAAACUUUUAUUAAAUCAUGACAAAUAUCUUUAUUACUCUUGUGGUGAACUUGAUUGAUGCACAACAUUAUGAAAUCGAUCUCCUAGUCCUUCACUUAAAUUUUUAUCAAUGAAUUUGCCUCUAAUUUGCAAUUAUAAAGUUUCUCAUUCAUCACACAACCAAGUUGUAUGAUUCCAAGUUUCUGUCCAAUUGAAACUUGGGUGAUGAGAAACUCUCUAUUUGGUAAAUUCUUGACAUUUUCGCAAAUAAUAUAAUUAAGAAUCAAAUCCAUUAUUGCUAAUAAUAGAAACCUUCAAACAUCAAUUUUUCAUACAUGCCAUUGCAAGGAUAAAUAAAUAAGAUAAAAUCAAAAUUCAUUUUACAGCGGAAAAAAAUUGGUACUUACAAUGCAAUUCAAUUGAAAAACUAUGUUAUUACAUAUUUCUUAGCAAUCUAUUCUAACUCCAAGUAGUGGCUCAAGAAUCCAAUCGUCAAGCAAUGCGACCGAAAUCCAUUUCUUCAAGAUUAGAUUUAGCUCAUUUCUUCCCUUAAGCUUCCUCUCUUUUCUUCGAUCUUACAAGACAUCAAAAUGUAAUCUUAUCACAUCUUGUAUUAAGAAUCUACAAUAGGAACUUAAAAGAGUUAGUUAAUGGAUUUUACCUAAAGCAGAGCCAUACGUCUUGACUCUCCCAUCUCUUAGAUCUCUCAGGUAGUUUGGGCAGCUUCAUCUGUAAUGCCCCAUCUCUUGGCAAUAAAAGCAAAUGGACUCCUUAGGCACAACACAUCGGACGAUCACAGACUUAGUUUUUUCUAGACUUCUAAUGUUGACAGUAUCCAUUGAUGUUUGGGAUUUUGAUUCACUAGAAAAAUUUGCUUGACCAGGACGCCAAAUCAUUGCUGAUUCAGCAGCUAUAAGCAAAUAGGUGAGAUCAAUGAGGGUCACGUCGUGAACCAUCGUAUAGUACUCUCUUACGAACUCACUAUACGAAUCAGGAAGUGACUAAAGAACCCAGUCAACAACCAACAUCUCUAAGAUAUCGACACCCAACAUCCUUAACCUAUCAAUGUGUGACUUCAUCUCUAAGACGUGUGCACAUACAAGUUUCCCAUCUUCGUGCUUACUUGCCAAAAGGGAUUGAGUAAGCUUGAACUUUUCAAGCCUAUUAACUUGUGGGUCAGGGAGAACAAUUGGAAGAGGUGGAGGAAGUGAAGCAUGACUCUCAUUUCCUUGAUUGUAUCUCGGAACGUCAUCAUCGUUUGGAAAGCUUGUUCCAAUGGAUUUGGGUAGACCAUUGUAAGAUUCAGACAUCUACAAAACGGGAGAAAAUUCAAGUUAAGUUGAUUGAUUCCUUAAUAAAAUACCCAAAUGAGUUAUUAAGGCUAGGAUCCAACACAAUAUUCUACAACCUAGAAGAAGGAUGUCGUAAUCUAGUUGCAGAAUAUUUGAAGGUAGGUAAAUGACAAUUUACCAAUUUCCACCAUGAAAAACGAAAAGGAAGUUUAUGUUUUAAAUGAAUUGAAACUCCUAGAUCUUUUGAGAUUCAAUGAAAUUUUCAACGGCAUGUUUAAAUCUCGAUUAUGCCCUUCUAUUUGUGACUGGGAUGCUGAGGAUCACAAAUAAGGUGUGAAUAACCAUACGAAUCACAUGGUGCACUGAAUACUACUAUCACCUAAUCACUAUGUCGGUUAGCCACACACGCUCCAUUGAUCUAUGACAAACAUCGAGCCACCCUUCGCUACCAAUUUCAUCCACAAAUUAGUGUGUCGAUGAACCACACACGCUCUACUAACGUUUGACAAGGGUACAAAGUGUAAUUCCAUGGAUUAGCAUACAAUUUUACAUUUUGCUUAAAGUAACUAUGAUUUGUGAAUUUGUAAAAGCAUUUAGUUACUUUGUACAUCAUUAUACUUAUAAUGGAAGGUUUAUGUCCUAUCCUACCCGUUCGACUAACGACCCUCCACUAGUCAAGAGUGCGGUGGGUAAGAGUGGAUACCCAUUCAAUCGCCAUUUUAUAGGCAAUUUCCUUAAACACCCCUUAUAGACCAGCUUCGUGAAUGAGGCCUACUAACGGUAAGACUGACUGUUUACUCAUAUAUAUAUAUAUAUAUAUAAUAUUAGACUUUUAAUGUUACAUAUAUAUAUAUAGUAUAGGGUGUAUUUUACACUUUUAAAAUACUAGGUGGUCUAAUUUAAUAAAUUAUACAUUUAAUUUAAUUAAAUGUAAACCAAAACUUUAUGUUUUAUUAAAUCUAUUUUAAUUAUAUAAUUUAAUUAAUUAAUAAAAACAUAAGGGUGUAAUUUGAACUUUUCGAAGUACUAGGGUUUUAGAAUUUAACAUUUCAAAAUUAAACUUUUAAUUAAAUUUUAAAUUCCAAAACUGGAGCGUAAGUUUUGAACAUUUCAAAAUAUUAUGGUUCAACUAUUUAAAUUUCAAAACUAAAACUAUUAAGCUCAAAUUUAAACUAUGAAACCUUAAGGGUUAAUUUGAAACUUUUCCAAACUUUAUCAACAACAUUCUAGAUCACAAAAUUCAAAUACGACAAUUAUCUAAUUUUGACCUAGUCCAAUUUCUUGCAAGAUAAUUCACCAAAUAAUUCAAAUAAUGAAAUUUUAUCAUAUAAGGAAAUAAUUAUUUAAUUAAUAUGAAGUUAUCUUUUAUUUUACCAAGGAUAAUCAUCCAAUAUCAUAAAAAUCUGAUUUGUAUCAAUAAAAAACGUUUUGGUAACUAUCCCACCGCCAAAGGAGCACAAAAUCCCGAAAUUGACUGUUUCUGACCUGUUGACUCGUCGAGUCAAGCAUGGACUCGUCGAGUUCACCAUGGACUUGGCGAGUUCACCCAUGGACUCAGCGAGUUCAUCCAUGGACUCGGCGAGUCCAGCCCCCAAAAACCCUAAUUUUCGAUUUUAAAGCAUGAAUAAUCAACUAUAGCAUCAAAUACAUAAAACAAACAACCCUAGUCUCUGAUACCACUGAUGGGUUUCGAGUAAUACAUCAUUCAUAUGGUGUACAUGCAAACCCUAAUAGCUUUUGGAUCUAGUUUGUCUAAUGAAUAUGCAAUUGAAUAUCCAAAGCUAUAAACCCUAGAUCUAGCAUACACUUAAUCAUAUUAACAUAAAAUAAGGUUUAGAUUUGACCUUAGAUUGUUAUAUAGCAAUAACAAUCAAUCCUUAGCUUUAGAAAGCUAAGCGCCUCAAGUGUUGCACCUUUAAUGGAGUCACAAACACCACUAAGCAACAAGGAUGAAUAGGGACAAGAGGGGAGGCACCAAAAACAGCUGGAAACCCUAAUCCAAGUGGUCACCACGUUUUUGGGUCCAUAAGGGUCCUUUAUAUAUGUAGGCUAUUAGGGUUUUCAACUAGGAAACCCUAAUGUGACUGCUUAGGCCUUAAGCAGUCCAAUGGACCAUUCCAGAAGGCCCUUGGACGAUUUCUUUAUGGACUUCCAUAUAGAAUUCGUUCAUUGCCAUCUAAUGGAUCCUAAGCCCCACUUUGUAACUAUCUUAUAAUUACAAUAUCAGUCCCCUAUGUUUAAUUAAUCUCUUUUAGCCACAAAAUUAAUUCUUAAUUAAUUCUUGACUAAUAUUAAUUAUACAUUAUGAUUUCUCCUUUAAUAUAUUAUUCUUAUAAUAUAUUAAUAAAUCAUAAUUAAACCUUUCCCUCCUUAAUUCAUCCAACAUAUUGUUAUGGUGAUGGCAAACCAAAAGGACCAUGCUCAUAAUCAGGUCAAGUACAUACCAAAAUAGUUAUGGACUUAGACAGUAAUCCAACAGAUUCAACCCGGGCUCACCAAAAUUACUUCAUGGAAUUUAUCACGACUAAUUGUGAGAUGAUAAUAUCAUAUAAUCUUGAAACCUAGAUAUAUGAGUUGUGGACUACAAGUUGGUUGUGCAUUGAUGAUACGAAAGUGCAUAAGUAACUUGUUGUUAUAAAACAUAUCGUUGUUCAUGAUUUGAUGAGUAGUUAGUACAAGCAUAUAAUGUCGAAGUUUAUAUGUUCCUUUUAUCCUAAGAGGAUUAAAAGCGAUAUCUUGGGCCCCUCGAGCUAAAUUGAUGUGUUCAAUUAUUUUCUAUGUUGGACGAAUCACAAAUCGGGAAACAAACUGCUGGACAAUAAGUAUGACACUGUUUGUAACAGCCCGAAAUCUAGGUAAGCUUUAUGACCCUUCUAUUUUGGAGAGUUGGCAUUUUGGUCCCUUAAAGUUGUAUGUUGGAUUGGUGAGUACGUUGGGCGUACUGAGGUGUACGCCACAUGUACUCACACGCUUAAAUUGUACGCGGACUCGCCCGGGUACGCUGGGCGUACCCAGGGGUUAUGCUGGGCGUAGUGAGCCCGGAUGCAAACCCUAAUUUCUGGCUUGUACACUAUAAAAGGAAAAUGUAGUCCUUUGCCCUAGCCACCAUAUCCCCUUGAGUGAGUCAUUUGAGAGCUUAGAUCCGUGCUUUAGCUUUUGUGUGUGUUUUUGAGCUUGAAGUUAUCCUUUCAAGGUGAAGAAGGAGAAGGAAGAGCCAUUAUUGGAGCUAGAAGUUGAAGAACAAGUGUAGAUCCAAGAUAUACAGUGGUUGGAGAUCCCUUCUGAGGUAAAAAGCUAAAAGCUUUCCUUUUUCUUCAUAAGUUUUGGUUUUUGGACCAUUUUUAGGGUUUUUAAUUCAAUGUUGGAGACUUUGUGUGCAUAGAGUCUCCAUGACCUUAGAUCUGACCUUUUCUAGUGUAUAUGGUGUUGAGGAUUCAUAAAAAUCCAGUCUUGGACAUGGAUCUUGUGUCAUGCAUGAGUUAUAGUCUCAUUAUGGAAAGAGGAAAGGUUUUUUGAGAACAAAGUGACCUUUACAGCCAUGCAAGGCUUAAAGGUUUCAACUUUAUGGAUUAAGUCAUAUUAGAGGAGUCGGAUCUGAAGUUUGCACGCAAGUCUUAACUGAUUAAGACCUGAAUAAGAUGGAUAAAGAAGUUGGGUAUUACGUUGCGCGUAAUCCCAGUACGCGCGGCGUAAGGGGCCGCAUACCCCGAUUCUGUGUAGUCUCCGGGUACGCCCGGCGUACACGUUUGGUACGCGCAGCGUAACCCAGAGGGUUGACUUUUGUUGACUUUUAGGGUUUGGUCAACUUCAGUGUAUUUGAGCCAAGGGGUAAAAUGGUGUUUUACCUUUCCUGAGAGUGGGUAGAAGUAAUGGUCUAGCCUUGGGAAAUAUGUUGUUAACGAGUGUUUAUUUCAUAUGAUUAGGCGGAGGCUUGGUCUUACUUCACUGAGUCUGAGAUUUCCAAGUUACCGAGUUACACGAGGUGAGUCUUCUAAAUAUACGUUACCUAGAGUGGCAUUAUGUGUUGAACAGAGGGUCCUAUCUAUUAUGUGUGAGAUUAUGUGCUAUAUGUUAUAUGUAUGUUGUAUGAUUUUAUAGACCAGAACGGAGGGUCCAACAAUAGAGACCGGGCCGGAGAGCCCAACGAGCUAUGACCGGACCAGAGGGUCCAAUGAGUUGCGGGACUGGAGGGUCCCACUGAGACACAUUGACCGGAAGGUCAUGCUAUAGCCUCGAGUGGUGUAUGUGUUGUAUGCGGUGUUUUGGGGAACUCACUAAGCAUUUAUGCUUACAGUUGUUGUGUUAUGUGUUUCAGGUACUAGUGAGGACUGUGGGAAGGCGUCGGCGUGACCCGUACACACUAGAGAAGGGAUUUGAUUUUGUGAUCUUGGGAAAUGUUAUGUUUCAAUAACUAUUGUUGAAUACUUUUGAGAAUAUUUUUAUAUAAAUUUGGUUGCUGAAAAAUGAAAAUUUUGUUUUGGAAAGUACGUUGUUACAAGUUUGUAUCAGAGCCUUGGUUUGAGGGACUAGGAUGCACCUUUGGGCAUAUCUGAACUCAAAAUGAGGAUUUGAGAAAUUUUCAACAAUAAAAACUAAAUUUUCUAAAAGAGCAAGGAGUUUUGAGAAAACUAGAGUAGAGCAUUGUGUACGGUCAGCCAGCGCCCGAAUGGUGAAUCCCCAAAAUACCCUUACAUUAUGUGUUAUGAGAUAUGUUAUGUUAUGUUAUGAAUGCUAGAGUAGGCUAGGUGUUCAUAUUAUGACUAGAGUGGCCUGAUUUGUGCUGCCUUAGCCUAGGGAAUUUCUGCGGCUAUGAGAUGCCUUGAGAGCGAGUAGGUAGCAGAUAGGAGCUCAUGAGAGAUCUAUCAGAGGGUAGAAAAUGCUUAGCGAGAGUAGAGUACUUGUGAUCCGAGAUCCAAGGAGGAGGACUUGGGUGAAUGCUGAUGCGGUGUUCUCAGUAGUAUAGGGCCUGUACUAGUGAAGACACCAGAUCAGUGAGCAGUCCAAGUAAGAAUCCUUUAGAUAUUGGAGGAGGAGUAGGGUUGCGUUAUCGAGUGUGAGUAUGGUCGAUCGAGUCUCUAAUGUUUACAUGUUGUAUUUCAGAGGCAUCAUGGUUGGGACACGACACACACCUGAGAGCAGUGGUGUCAGCGACGAGGAGAUCCGUCGAUUGAUACAUGAGGACGUGGUUGCUUCCAUCCAGGCUGAGAUUACAGAGAUGUUCGGGGACAUCAAGAUCACAUUGAUUGAGACCUUUGACAAGCGAUAUGUAGCAGUGACUGAGGCUGCGGCUGCUGCUGUUGCUGCUGCCAGACCUCAGGGAGGUGACUCGUUGUUGUUUCGGGAGUUCAUUAACACGAAGCCACCAGAGUUCAAUGGGACGUAGGACCCGAUUGCUAUGAUGAGAUGGAUCUCUGACAUCGAGGGAUGUUUCUAUAAGUGUUCUUAUCAAGAGCACCUGAGGGUACGGUUCGCUCUAAACCAGCUCCGCCUGGGAGCGAAGCAUUGGUGGAAGUUCGUGACGGCGAGAUUUACUCUGGCAGAGAUUUCUAAGAUGACCUGGGAGAGAUUCACCGCCAUGUUCAGAGACGAGUAUGUUCCCCCGGUAGAGAGGAAACGGUUGAUUUAGGAUUUCCUGACCCUCAAGCAGAGUAUUGAUUCUGUUACGGUUAUUAACAGGAAGUUUCAUGAGAGGGAAAUGUUUUGCCAUGAGCAGGUGUCUUCUGAGCAGGCUCGUAUGAGCCGAUAUCUGAGUGUUCUGAGGAGAGAUAUUUGGGAUUUCGUGGCGAACUCGACUUACCGGAAAUUUGCUGAGCUCCAGGCAAAUGCCCUGAAGAGGGAGAUUGAGUUGGAGACUCAGGCCAGGGAGGAGGCCGAGUCAUAGAGGAUGGAUCGGCGGCCGACUCAGUCUCAACCGGCAGCCAAGCGGGCCAGACCCACUGAUUCGAGAUCUGGGAGGGCGAAGGGAUGCACUUAUGGGAAGUGUGGCAAGGGUCACGAGGGGUCGUGCCUGGCAGGAGUAUGCUACAAGUGCGGGAAGGAGGGGCAUGUCGCGAGGGAUUGCCCAAAGGGAUUUUCGGUUUGCUUCCAUUGCAACCAGACCGGCCAUCGGAAGGCCAAGUGCCCUUUGGUACUUUAGGGAUCAACGCAAGGAUUUACGCCUGCUGCUAGGGCUACCGAGGUUCGGCCAGUGAAGGCCGAGGCACAAAAGGCUCGUGGGAGAGCUUUCCAGUUGACUGUGGAGGAGGUCCGUGUAGCGCCUGAUGUUGUGGCUGGUAUGUAUUCUAUAUUUAUCCUUUUUUUUAGUUGAGAUAUUGUGCUUAUAUGAUGAUAUGCAUAGGUUCUUUUCUUGUGAGUUAUGUGCCUGCUUUGGUAUUAUUUGACUCGGGUGCGAGUCGGUCAUUUGAUUCCUUGGCAUUUAGUCAGCACAUUAGUAUCCGUCGAGAGGCGUUUAGUCGACCUCUGCGAGUUUCCAUAGCUGACGAGCGAGCGGUGUUAGCUACGGAUGUGAUUCGAGGAUGUAUACUUGAUAUCUUCGGUGUGGAGUUCCCGAUAGAUCUGGUCCCGAUUGCGAUGGGGGACGUGUGUGUUAUAGUGGGCAUGGAUUGGUUGAGCUAAUUUGGAGCUAUCAUAUACUGCGAGCGUCAGUUGGUGAUGAUACUAGACCCUAGUGGGGGAGUACUUACGGUGUACGGCAAGGGGACCCGAUGUGGGUCAGCGUUUUGCUCGGCUGCUAGGGCGAGGCAGAGUUUGCAAUAGGGCUGCAGCGGAUUCGUAGCCUAUGUGAUGGACAUGCGAGUGGCCGAUGGGAGGCCAAGUUCGAUUGAUGAGGUUCCGUUAGUGUGUGAGUUUCCGGAUGUUUUUCCUGAAGAAUUUCCGGGCGUGCCUCUCGAGAGGCAAGUGGAGUUCCGUAUCGAUUUGGUUCCGGGGGCAGCACCUAUCGCUAAGGCGCCUUAUCGCCUCGCGCCGCCUGAGAUGCAAGAGUUAUCCUCGCAGCUUCAGGAGUUGUUGGGGAAGGGGUUUAUUAGACCGAGUAGCUCACCUUGGGGAGCGCCAAUCCUUUUUGUCAAGAAGAAGGUUGGUUCACACCGGAUGUGUAUUGAUUACCGGGAGUUGAACAAGCUGAUGGUCAUGAACCGUUAUCCGUUACCGAGGAUCGACGAUCUGUUCGAUCAGUUACAGGGAGCGUCUUGGUUCUCCAAGAUAGACUUGAGGUCGGGAUAUCACCAGAUGAGGCUUCGGGAUGAAGAUAUCCAGAAGACAGCAUUCAGGACUCGUUACGGGCAUUACGAGUUCGUGGUGAUGCCUUUCGGGCUCACUAAUGCACCAGCAGCAUUCAUGGACCUCAUGAACAGGGUGUGCAGGCCGAUGUUGGAUCAUUCGGUGAUCGUAUUCAUUGACGAUAUCUUGGUGUAUUCAAGAUCCAGAGAGCAGUAUGAGGAGCAUUUGAGGGAGAUUCUCAGAGUUCUGAGAUCGGAGAGGCUUUACGCCAAAUUCUCCAAGUGUGAUUUUUGGUUACGAGAGGUCCACUUCCUAGGGCACCUCGUUAACCAGAAGGGGAUAUUGGUCGAUCCGGCAAAGAUCGAGGCGGUGAUGAGUUGGGAGGUGCCAAGGUCACCUACCGAGAUCAGGAGUUUCAUUGGGUUGGCUGGUUAUUAUAGGAGGUUUAUCAGCGAUUUCUCUAAGAUCGCCGUGCCACUCACCAAGUUGACUCAGAAGGGGGUUACUUUUUCUUGGGGUCCGGAAUAGCAGACCUCAUUUGAGACACUUCGCUAGAGAUUGUGCGAAGCUCCGAUGCUCGCACUCCCGGAAGGGAUGGAGGAGUUUGUAGUGUACAGUGAUGCAUCGAUAUCAGGGAUGGGAGCGGUGCUUAUGUAGAGGGGGCAUGUGAUAGCAUAUGCAUCGAGGCAGCUGAAACCUCAUCAUUCGAGGUAUCCCACCCAUGAUCUGGAGUUGGGGGCACUGGUGUUCGCCCUCAAGAUAUGGUGUCACUAUCUGUACGGGAUUCGGUGUACUAUAUCCACAGACCACAAGAGUUUGAAAUAUUUGAUGGAUCAGCUCAACCUGAAUAUGCGCCAGAGGAGAUGGCUGGAUGUGGUGAAGGAUUACGAUUGUGAGAUCCUGUACCACCCGGGCAAGGCUAACGUUGUAGCCGAUGCCCUAAGCCGUAAGGCAGAGGGCGCCCCGAUAGGAGAUGUUUGCAUGAGAUUGACAGUGAUGACUCCGGUAUGGGACGCCAUUCGAGGGGCCCAGGCGGAGGUCGUGAGACCGGAGAACCGCAAGAGGGAGCGAGUGAUCGGGCAGGCAUCGGAGUGUGUUACCCAUAGUAGAGGACUUAUGACCAUCCAGGGUCGGGUUUGGGUACCGUUUGUGGGCGAAACGCAUAGCGUCUUGAUGGAGGAGGCGCAUAGAUCAAAGUUCUCGAUCCACCCCAGGGCCACAAAGAUGUAUUUGGACUUGAAGAAGGAGUAUUGGUGGCCCUGUAUGAAGAGGGAUGUUGCAUGGUUCGUAGAGAAGUGCUUGACCUGUCGCAAGGUUAACGCCGAGCACCAGUGUCCGCAUGGUAAGGUGCAGCCGUUAGAGAUUCCUGAGUGGAAGUGGGAACAGAUCACCAUGGAUUUUAUCACCAAAUUGUCGAGGACUUCCAGGGGUGUCGAUGCAAUUUGGGUGAUUGUGGAAAGGUUGACGAAGAGCGCUCACUUCCUUUCCAUCAGUGAGAGCUCUUCCGCGGAGAGGCUGGCAGAGUUGUAUGUUAGGGAGGUGGUAUCGCGACAUGGAGUACCGAUCUCGAUCGUCUCAAAUCGAGAUGUUCGUUUCACUUCCAGAUUCUGGAAGAAAUUUCAUGAGGAACUGGGUACGAGGCUGCAUUUUAGUACCGCAUACCACCCACAGAACGACGGGCAGAGCGAGUGGACGAUUCAGACGCUCGAGGACAUGCUUUGGGCAUGUGUGCUGGAUUUCGGCGGGAGUUGGGACACGUAUUUGCCCUUGGCUGAGUUUUCCUAUAACAACAGCCAUCACUCGAGCAUUGGUAUGCUACCUUUUGAGCUGUUGUAUGGAAGGAGGUGUUGUGCCCCCAUUUGCUGGGGCGAGGUAGGGAAACGUAUGUUGGGUAGUACGGAGAUAAUGCUUCAGACGACAGAGCAGAUACGACAGGUCAUACAGAGGUUAUUGACCGCUCAGAGUUGCCAGAAGAGUUACGCGGAUAGGCGAAGAUCCGAACUCGAGUUCCAGGUUGAUGAUUUUGUGCUCCUGAAGGUAUCUCCUUGGAAAGGAGUGAUCCGAUUCAGGAAAGGGGCAAGCUGGGACCUCGGUAUAUUGGUCCGUUUAGAGUGAUCGUGAGGGUGGGAAAAGUAGCGUAUCGCUUGGAGCUACCGGCAGACUUGGACCAGAUUCAUGAUACCUUCCACGUGUCGUAGCUGAGGAAGUGUAUUGCCGAUGAGUUGGCAAUGGUACCAUUAGAGGAUAUCCAGGUGGACGUAAGUUUGAAUUAUGCUGAGAAGCCGAUCGCAAUCUUGGAUCGGAGGAUCAAGGUUCUGAGAAACAAGGAAGUGCCCCUGGUUCAGGUCCAGUGGCAACAUCGUAGAGGGUCCGAGCUGACCUGGGAGCCAUAGUCGGAGAUGCGGGAGCAGCAUCCGGAGUUGUUCGCUGCAUGAUACUUCGAGGGCGAAGUCUAGUUCUAGUGGGGGAAAAUUGUAACAACCCGAAAUCCAGGUAAGCUUUCUGACCCUUCUAUUUUGGAGAGUUGGCAUUUUUGUCCCUUAAAGUUGUAUGUUGGAUUGGUGAGUACGCUGGGCGUAUUGAGGUGUACGUCGCGCGUACUCACACGCUUAAAUUGUACGCGGACUCAUUUGGGUAUGCUCGGCGUAGUGAGCCCAGAUGCAAACCCUAAUUUCUGGCUUGUGCACUAUAAAAGGAACAUGUAGUCCUCUGCCCUAGCCACCAUAUCCCCUUGAGUGAGUCCUUUGAGAGCUGAGAUCUGUGCUUUAUCUUGUGUGUGUGUUUUUGAGCUUGAAGUUAUCCUUUCAAGGUGAAGAAGGAGAAGGAGGAGCCAUUAUUGGAGCUAGAAGUUGAAGAACAAGUGUAGAUCCAAGAUCUACAGUGGUUGGAGAUCCCUUCUGAGGUAAAAAGCUCAAAGCUUUCCUUAUUCUUCAUAAGUUUUGCUUUUUGUACCAUUUUUAGGGUUUUUGGUUCAAAGUUGGAGACUUUGUGUGCAAAGAGUCUCCAUGAGCUUAGAUCUGACCUUUUCUAGUGUAUAUGGUGUUGAGGAUACAUAAAAAUCCAGUCUUGGAUGUGGAUCUUCUGUCAUGCAUGAGUUAUAGUCUCAUUAUUGAAAGAGGAAAGGUGUGUUGAGAACGAAGUGACCUAUAUAGCCAUGCAAGGCUUAAAGGUUUCAAAUUUAUGGAUUAAGUUAUAUUAGAGGAGUCGGAUCUAAAUUUUGGAUGCAAGUCUUAACUUAUUAAGACCUGAAUGAGAUGGAUAAGGAAGUUGGGUAUUACGCUGGGCAUAAUCCCAGUACGCGCGGCGUAAGGGGCCGCUUAACCCAAUUCUAUGAAGGCUCCGAAUAUGCCUUGGGUACACGUUUGGUACACGCAGCGUAACCCGGAGGGUUGACUUUUGUUGACUUUUAGGGUUUGGUCAACUUUAGUGUAUUUGAGCCAAGUAAGGGGUAAAAUGGUCUUUUACCUUUCCUGAGAGUGAUUAGAAGGAAUGGUCUGGCCUUAUGAAAUAUGUUGUUAACGAGUGUUUAUUUCAUAUGAUUAAGCGGAGGCUAGGUCUUACUGCACUGAGUCCGAGAUUUCCGAGUUACACGAGGUGAAUCUUCUCACUAUACGUUUCCUAGAGUGGCAUUAUGUGUUGACCAGAGGGUCUUAUCUGUUAUGUGUGAGAUUAUGUGCUAUGUGUUAUAUGUAUGUUGUAUGAUUUUAUAAACUGGACAGGAGGGUCCAUGUAACAGCCCGGAAUUUCAGGUAUUUCUUUAAAUUAUUUUUGGGGCACAUUUAGGAGGGGACUCGGCGAGUUGGUGCACGACUCGCCGAGUAGGGCCAUGGUCUUGGUCGCAGACGCGCGACUGGACUCGACGAGUCCAAAAAGGGACUCGGCUAGUCGACGCCGUUCAACUGAACCCUAGCCGUUUCAUUUCUGAUCGUAUAUAACGAUCUUAUGGCCGUCAUGUCGCGUCUUUUGGCCGGUUGAAGAUCCCCUGGGAGUGUGUGAGCAUCUGAAGCAAGAGAGAGGACUUGAGAAGGCUUGAAGAGAUUGUUAGACAAGGAGGAGCAAGGUGGUGAUCAAAGGAAUCGAGUACUGGAGGUUUGGAGACACAGGGAACACGUUUCCAGGUAAUCUUCGGAUCGAAAUCUGUAACUUUUACGUUGUAUGCGAGUUUAGGGUUUAGGAAACCCAAUUAAGGGUUAGUUAGAUUAUAUUGUUGUUAUAAGUGUUAAAAACCCUUGUAAUAGUAUAUGUGGAAGUCCAGGAAGCCCUAUAACUAUAUACUUCGAAAUCAUGCGAAAUACAGGAGGCAGUGGAUUGACUGCAUGGCGAGGACUCGCCGAGUCCAAUGAUCAGACUCGGCGAGUAGCUUGAAGAUUCACUAGAACUCGCCGAGUUGUUCUUCAGACUCGGCGAGUAGCUUGAAGGUUCACUAGGACUCGUCGAGUUGUUCUUCAGACUCGGCGAGUAGCUUGAAGAUCUACUGGAACUCGUCGAGUCGUUCUUCAGACUCGGCGAGUGGUGUCAGGAUGUCUAUACUCGUCGAGUUACCCUUUGCACUCGACGAGUCCGGUCAAGAUUGACCGUUGACCUGUAUAUAUCUUAGAGGGGUCAGUUGUCUUGUUUGAUAAGAUCAUUAACUAGGGCUGUGGUAUUAUAGGGAACCUGCGGACUAGCGGAUUGUGUGCGAGUAGCUCGAAGAGGUUAUAGCCUGCGUACUACGAGGUGAGUCUUCUCACUAUACUUCACCCGGAAGGGUUUGACUGUUAGACCGGAAGGUCGUGUGUGUUAUAUUCAUGCUAUGUCUAGAGAGGUAGAUGCUUUAUAUGUGAUGUGUGCUUAUAUGUGAUGUAUGCUUAUACGGGCCGGAAGGCGAGACUUUAUGUGAUAGAAAGAACGGUAUGAUGUAUGAUUUAUGUGUUAUGAGUAUUAUGUUACAUGUGUUAUGUUUUAUACUAUCAUGGGCCGGAAGGCAAAAUGCUAUGGGCCGGAAGGCAAUCUAAUACGGGCCGGAAGGCGAUAUAUAUUAUGGACCGAAAGGUCCGGGCCGGAAGGCGUAUGUGGGUAAGUCGUAUACUGGGGAACUCACUAAGCAUUUAUGCUUACUAGUUGUGUUUAUGUUUUUCAGGUACUAGUGAUGACCGUGGAAAGGCGCCGGCGUGACACGUACACACUGCCACUGUUGAAGAUCCUGGAGAUUUAUUAUUUAUAUUUUGAAACAAACUUGGAAUAAACCCUUUUGUCGAAUAAUGAUGUUUUGUUUUAAACGAAAAAUUUAUUUGAAAAUUUGAGCUGUUACAAUUGGUAUCAGAGCCUUGGUUUGAGGGAUUCGGGGGUACUUUUGGGUGCAACUGAACUCAGACCGGGGAUUUGAGGAAAAACUUUUUCUUAAAAAUGAUAAGGACGUAACAUUUUAUAAAGGGCAAGGCGGUAAAAACAAGGGUGGAACAGUGUGUACGAGCAGCCAGCGUCCGAACGGUAAAGAUCCCCAGAAUACCUUACGAUGUUAUGUUAUGCACUGAAUUAUGAAUUGUUAUGCAUGCUAGAAGACUAGGUAUACAUGAUAGGAAUAGAAUUGCCUGUUUUGUGAUGCCUUAGUCUAGGGAGAUUGCUUAUAUGAGAUAUUUGGUAGCGUGCAAGUAAAUAGUGCAUACUAGAAGUAGAGUACUCGUUAUUCGGGAUUUGGGGAGGAAGAUUUGGGACGAAUACUGAUACGGUGUGGUCGGUAGUAUUGGGCCCGUACUAUCGAAGGCACCGGAUCAGUGGAAGACUCAAAUAAGAAUCCCUGGAAAUCGGAGACUGGGUAGGGCGCGUAUCGAGUACAAUUGUACUUGGUGGAGUCUCUGAUGAUUUUAUGUUGUAUUUCAGAGACAUCAUGGUUAUCACACGCAAUGGGGCGAGUUCGAGCGGUGCGAGUGACGAGGAGAUUCGUCAGAUUAUUCAGGAAGAGGUAGCUGCGGCGGUCCGGGCUGAGAUCCCGGAGAUGUUUGGGUCUAUUAAGACCACGUUGAUGGAGGAGUUUGAGGAGCGGUGCGCCGCACUUACUGAAGCUGCAGUUGCUGCCGCUACCGCAGCGGUGGCUGCUGCCAGGCCGCAAGGGGGUGAUUCAUUACUAUUCAGGGAAUUCAGCAACACGAAACCCCCUGAAUUUGAUGGGACGCAGGAUCCGAUUGCAGCUAUGAGGUGGAUCGCCGACAUCGAGGGGUGCUUCUAUACUUGCUCAUGCCCGGAGCACUUGAGGGUACGGUUCGCCUUGAACCAGCUCCGUCUGGGAGCGAAGGAUUGGUGGAAGUUCGUGACGGCGAACUUCACUCAGGCAGAGAUUUCGGUGGUGACAUGGGAGAGGUUUACAGAGAUGUUCAGGGAUGAGUACGUUCCCCCGGUAGAGAGGGAGCGAUUGAUUCAGGAGUUCUUGACCCUUAAGCAGGGUACUGAUUCCGUGGCAGUGAUCACACGGAAGUUUCAUGAGAGGGCAAUGUUCUGCCCCGAGCUGGUAUCUACGGAGCAGUCGCGGAUGAGCCGCUAUUUGGGUGUUUUGAAGAGGGAGAUUCGGGAGUUUGUGUCAAACUCCACCUAUCGUACUUUCACUGAGCUUCAGGCGAACGCCAGGAAGCGCGAGAUUGAGUUGGAGACUCAAGCGAGGGAGGAGGCUGAGUCUCGGCAGGUGGAUCGACGGCCGGCCCAGUCUCAGCCGGCAGCCAAGCGGACUAAGUUCGCUGAUUCGAGGAUGGGAGGUUCGAAGGGUCGCACUUGCGCGAAGUGCGGCAAGAGUCACGAGGGGGCGUGUCGAGCUGGUGGUUGCUACAAGUGUGGCAAGGACGGACAUAUUGCCAGGGAUUGCCCUAAGGGGUUUAUGGUUUGCUUUCACUGCAACCAGACAGGCCAUCGGAAGGCCGAGUGCCCGCAACUUCGUCAGGGAGCUACACCUACUACCCGGACUACUGAGACCCGACCGGUGAAGGUCGAGGCCCCGAGGGCUCGCGGGAGAGCCUUUCAGCUGACUGCGGAGGAGGUCCGCGCUGCGCCCGAUGUUGUGGCAGGUAUGUUAUCUUUCAUGUAUUUAAUUAAAGGUCGAAAUGUUAUGCUUAUGUUAAUGUAUGUGUAGGUACUUUCCUUGUGAACUCUAUGCCUGCUCUAGUAUUAUUUGAUUCGGGUGCGAGUAGAUCGUUUGUAUCGUUAGCUUUUAGUCAGCACAUCGGCAUUAGUCGUGAGCCGUUAAGUCGGCCUUUGAGCGUUUCCAUUGCGGCUGAGAGGGUGAUUUGUGCUACGGAGGUUUUUCGGGGAUGUGUGCUAGAGAUCUUCGGGGUCGCAUUUCCGAUUGACCUAAUUCCUAUUGCGAUGGGUGAUGUCUGUGUCAUUGUAGGCAUGGACUGGUUGAGCCGAUUCAGCGCUGUCAUCGACUGCGAGCGUCAGUUGGUGACUAUACGAGACCCUAGUGGGGGAGUUCUUACGGUGUACGGCGAGGGUACCCGUUCGAGAUCAGCUUUUUGUUCGGCUGCUAGGGCGAGGCAAUGCCUACAGCGGGGAUGUAACGGUUUUGUGGCGUAUGUGAUGGAUACGCGGGAGAGUUCCGAGAGACCGAAGACAUUGAAGGAGGUUCCAGUGGUGCGCGAGUUUCCAGAUGUUUUCCCCGAGGAUUUGCCGGGAAUACCUCCUGCGAGGCAAGUGGAGUUUGGUAUCGACCUAGUUCCAGGGGCGGCGCCUAUUGCGAAGGUGCCUUAUCGUCUUGCACCUCCAGAGAUGCAAGAAUUGUCCUCGCAACUUCAAGAGUUGUUGGGGAAGGGAUUUAUUCGGCCGAGUAGCUCGCCGUGGGGAGCACCGAUUCUGUUCGUCAAGAAGAAGGAUGGUUCACACCGGAUGUGUAUCGAUUACCGGGAACUGAACAAGGUGACAGUUAAGAACCGCUAUCCGUUACCAAGAAUCGAUGAUCUAUUCGAUCAGUUGCAAGGGGCAUCUUGGUUUUCCAAGAUUGAUUUGAGAUCAGGGUACCAUCAGGUAAGGGUGCGGGAUGAGGACGUCCAGAAGACAGCCUUUAGGACGCGGUAUGGGCAUUACGAGUUCGUGGUGAUGCCUUUUGGGCUCACCAAUGCCCCAGCAGUGUUCAUGGAUCUCAUGAACAGGGUAUGCAGGCCGAUGCUGGAUCGGUCUGUGAUUGUAUUCAUCGACGACAUUCUGGUGUAUUCGCGGUCUAGGGAGCAGCAUGAGGGACAUUUGAGGGAGGUCCUUGAGGUACUGAGGUCGGAGAAGCUAUAUGCAAAAUUCUCCAAAUGUGACUUCUGGUUACGGGAGGUUCAAUUUCUGGGGCACGUUGUAAAUCAGGCAGGGAUAUUGGUCGAUCCGGCCAAGGUGGAGGCGGUGAUGAGAUGGGAGGCACCAAAGUCACCUUCGGAGAUCAGGAGUUUCCUUGGGUUGGCAGGGUACUAUCGAAGGUUCAUUAGGGACUUCUCCAAGAUCGCAGUGCCACUUACCAAAUUGACCCGAAAGGGUGUUACAUUCUCAUGGGGACCCGAGCAGCAGACUUCCUUCGAGACACUUCGUCAGAGACUGUGCGAAGCACCAGUAUUAGCCCUUCCUGAAGGGAUGGAGGACUUCGUCGUAUAUUGCGACGCAUCGAUUUCAGGACUGGGUGCAGUGUUGAUGCAGAGGGGCCAUGUGAUAGCCUAUGCAUCGAGGCAGCUGAAGCCUCACGAAGCGAGAUAUCCCACGCAUGACUUAGAGUUGGGGGCAGUAGUGUUCGCCCUCAAAAUUUGGCGUCACUACCUGUACGGGGUUCGUUGUACCAUAUACACGGACCAUAAGAGUUUGAAGUAUUUGAUGGAUCAACCCAACCUAAACAUGCGCCAGAGGAGAUGGUUAGACGUGGUUAAGGAUUAUGACUGUGAGAUCCUAUACCACCCAGGCAAGGCUAAUGUGGUAGCCGAUGCAUUGAGUCGUAGGGCGGAGGGUACUCCAUUGCGGGACGUAUGUUUGAGAUUGACGGUGGUGACUCCGGUAUUAGAUACUAUUCGUGGGGCACAGGCCGAGGUUGUGAAGUCUGGGAUGCAGAAACAGGAGCGGGUCGUCGGGUUAAUUUCAGAGUUCGUUACGGAUGGGCGGGGACUUCUGACAUUUCAGGGUCGGAUCUGGGUGCCAUUCGUGGGCGGUACGCGUGUCAUUUUGAUGGAGGAGGCACAUAGAUCGAAAUUCUCGAUCCAUCCCGGUGCUACGAAAAUGUAUCUGGAUUUGAAAAAGGAGUACUGGUGGCCUUGCAUGAAGAGAGACGUUGCGUGGUUCGUGGAGAGGUGUUUGACCUGCCGUAAAGUUAAGGCCGAGCACCAGAGACCGCACGGUAAGUUGCAACCCUUGGAGAUCCCUGAGUGGAAGUGGGAUCAGAUCACGAUGGAUUUCAUCACCAAAUUGCCGAAAACUGCCAGGGGAGUCGAUGCGAUUUGGGUGAUUGUGGAUAGACUAACAAAGAGUGCACAUUUCCUUGCCAUUAGUGAAAGUUCAUCAGCAGAGAAGUUGGCGGAGUUGUACGUGAGAGAGAUAGUAUCUCGGCAUGGAGUGCCGACCUCGAUUGUUUCGGACCGCGAUGUACGUUUCACUUCCAGGUUCUGGAAGAAAUUCCAUGAGGAGUUGGGUACUAAACUGCAUUUUAGUACCGCAUACCAUCCCCAGACCGACGGUCAAAGCGAGCGGACGAUCCAGACAUUGGAAGAUAUGCUUAGAGCGUGUGUGUUAGACUUCGGGGGUAGCUGGGAUGCGCAUCUGCCGCUGGCUGAGUUUUCCUACAACAACAGCCAUCAUUCGAGCAUUGGUAUGCCACCUUUUGAGUUGUUGUAUGGUAGGAGGUGUCGGACUCCCAUUUGCUGGGGAGAAGUGGGACAGAGAGUGAUGGGCAGUACAGAGAUCGUACUUCAAACGACUGAACAGAUCCAACGGGUGAGGCAGAGGUUAUUGACCGCCCAGAGCCGACAGAAGAGUUAUGCGGACAGACGCCGGUCCGAGCUCGAAUUCCAGGUCGGCGACUUCGUUCUCCUAAAGGUUUCUCCUUGGAAAGGGGUGAUUCGGUUCAGGAAGAGGGGCAAAUUGGGGCCCCGGUUCAUAGGUCCAUUUCGGGUAAUUGCAAGGGUAGGUCGGGUAGCUUAUCGGUUGGAGUUGCCAGCGGAGCUGAAUCAGAUUCACAAUACCUUCCACGUAUCACAGCUGAGGAAGUGUAUAGCCGAUGAGGCAGCAGUGGUUCCGUUAGAAGAUAUCCAGGUAGAUGCGAGUCUGAAUUACGCCGAGAGACCAGUAGCUAUCAGGGAUCGGAAGAUCAAGGUUCUACGGAACAAGGAAAUACCUCUGGUGUUGGUUCAGUGGCAACAUCGGAAGGGAUCGGAGAUGACUUGGGAGCCGGAAAGAGAAAUGCGGGAGCAACAUCCGGAGUUAUUCGCAGAAUGAGAGACUUCGAGGGCGAAGUCUAGUUCUAGUGGGGGAGAGUUGUAACAGCCCGGAAUUUCAGGUAUUUCUUUAAAUUAUUUUUGGGGCACAUUUAGGAGGGGACUCGGCGAGUUGGUGCACGACUCGCCGAGUAGGGCCAUGGUCUUGGUCGCAGACGCGCGACUGGACUCGACGAGUCCAAUAAGGGACUCGGCGAGUCGACGCCGUUCAGCUGAACCCUAGCCGUUUCAUUUCUGAUCGUAUAUAACGAUCUUAUGGCCGUCAUGUCGCGUCUUUUGGCCGGUUGAAGAUCCCCUGGGAGUGUGUGAGCAUCUGAAGCAAGAGAGAGGACUUGAGAAGGCUUGAAGAGAUUGUUAGACAAGGAGGAGCAAGGUGGUGAUCAAAGGAAUCGAGUACUGGAGGUUUGGAGACACAGGGAACACGUUUCCAGGUAAUCUUCGGAUCGAAAUCUGUAACUUUUACGUUGUAUGCGAGUUUAGGGUUUAGGAAACCCAAUUAAGGGUUAGUUAGAUUAUAUUGUUGUUAUAAGUGUUAAAAAACCCCGUAAUAGUAUAUGUGAAAGUCCAGGAAGCCCUAUAUCUAUAUACUUCGAAAUCAUGCGAAAUACAGGAGGCAGCGGAUUGACUGCAUGGCGAGGACUCGCCGAGUCCAAUGAUCAGACUCGGCGAGUAGCUUGAAGAUUCACUAGAACUCGCCGAGUUGUUCUUCAGACUCGGCGAGUAGCUUGAAGGUUCACUAGGACUCGUCGAGUUGUUCUUCAGACUCGGCGAGUAGCUUGAAGAUCUACUGGAACUCGUCGAGUCGUUCUUCAGACUCGGCGAGUGGUGUCAGGAUGUCUAUACUCGUCGAGUUACCCUUUGCACUCGACGAGUCCGGUCAAGAUUGACCGUUGACCUGUAUAUAUCUUAGAGGGGUCAGUUGUCUUGUUUGAUAAGAUCAUUAACUAAGGCUGUGGUAUUAUAGGGAACCUGCGGACUAGCGGAUUGUGUGCGAGUAGCUCGAAGAGGUUAUAGCCUGCGUACUACGAGGUGAGUCUUCUCACUAUACUUCACCCGGAAGGGUUUGACUGUUAGACCGGAAGGUCGUGUGUGUUAUAUUCAUGCUAUGUCUAGAGAGGUAGAUGCUUUAUAUGUGAUGUGUGCUUAUAUGCGAUAUAUGUUAUGUGGAUCGAAAGAUCCGGGCCGGAAGGCAAUGUUAUGUGGAUCGAAAGAUCCGGGCCGGAAGGCAAUGUUAUGUGGAUCGAAAGAUCCGGGCCGGAAGGCAAUGUUAUGUGGAUCGAAAGAUCCGGGCCGGAAGGCAAUGUUAUGUGGAUCGAAAGGUCCGGGCCGGAAGGCAAUGUUAUGUGGAUCGAAAGGUCCGGGCCGGAAGGCGUAUGUGGGUAAGUCGUAUACUGGGGAACUCACUAAGCAUUUAUGCUUACUAGUUGUGUUUAUGUUUUUCAGGUACUAGUGAUGACCGUGGAAAGGCGCCGGCGUGACACGUACACACUGCCACUGUUGAAGAUCCUGGAGAUUUAUUAUUUAUAUUUUGAAAUAAACUUGGAAUAAACCCUUUUGUCGAAUAAUGAUGUUUUGUUUUUAACGAAAAAUUUAUUUGAAAAUUUGAGAAAAUUUAUUUGAAAAUUUGAGCUGUUACAGUCCAACGAUACAAACCGGGCCGGAGGGCCCAACGUGCUAUGACCGGACUAGAGGCUCCAAUGAGCUACGAGACUAAAGGGUCCCGCUGCGACACAUCGACCGGAAGGUCAUGCUAUAGCCUCAAGUGGCGUAUGUGUUGUAUGCGGUGUUUUGGAGAACUCACUAAGCAUUUAUGCUUACAGUUGUUGUGUUAUGUGUUUCAGGUACUAACGAGGACUGUGGGAAGUCGCCGUCAUGACUCGUACACACUAGAGAAGGGAUAUGAUUUUCUGAUCUCGGGAAAUGUUAUGUUUCGAUAACUGUUGUUGAAUACUUUUGAGAAUAUUUUUAUAUAAAUUUGGUUGCUGAAAAAUGAAAAAUUUGUUUUGGAAAUUACGUUGUUACACUAUUUCAUGUAUUUGUCCAGCUGAUAUCUUGAGAACUGAGGAUUAUAUGGUUACUUAUUUGAAGGACGCGUCACUGACUAGGUCAGAUUUUGACAACGACUUUUGUAAGCUUAUGAUUGCUAAGUCAGAUCUUGAAGUGCAUAAGCAAUAAUAGUUAUUAGACCUAUCCAAGAGGGAGACUACUGUAUUUGGUGUCUAAGCCCAUAACUAUAAAUAGUAUGUACUUGACCCGAAUGUAGCAUGGUCCUUUUGGGUUGCCUUCACCAGUACAAUUUGAUAGGACGAAUUUUGAGAAUAAGGUUAUUUAUUAUUUAUUAAUAUAUUAUAAGUAUAAUAUAUUAAUAUGGAAUUAUUUAAUUAGUAUUGAUCAAGAAUUAAUUUAUUAAUUUUGUGAUCAAAAGAGACUAAUUAAAUAUAUGGGGAUUGAUUAUGUAAAUCAGUCAUUCUUGUAGUGUGGGCUAAGGAUCCAUGAUUAUGGGCUAAACUAAUCCAUGGAUAGUCCAUGGAGGUUGAACCCAUGGAGCAUGGGAAUGUCGAAAGUCGUUGGUUAUUAGGGUUUACCAAGUGUAACCCUAGCAUAUCCAACACUAUAAAUAGAACCCUCCAUAGACCAAAAUUGGUUGCCUCUUCUCUUUGUGAUAAAUAGAUUAUUAUCUUAAAUCAUCCUCUUGCAUAUUGGUGUUUGUGAACCAUUAGAUCCAUCAUACUUGAGGUGCUCAAGCUUUAAAUGGUCAAGAACAAGUCCUUCAAAUGGUUUGUCAUCUAACUAGAUGUUUUAUUCAACUGGUAAUUUGAAUGCUAGUUAGGACAAUGCUUUAGAAAACAUGAAAAUAUGCAUGUAUAAUAGAGAAAACAUAGAUCGAAAGCAUUUAGGGUUAAAUGUGCACCAUAGGAGUGUUAUAGUGCUCAAAACCCAACACGGAGGACUAAGGACUGGUUCCUUACCCUCACUGGGAGUGAUGACUUGAGAGUGACAGGGUAUAGUGAGACCAGCUUUCAGACCGACAAAGAUAAUUUCCGCUCUCGGUCGGGCUAGGUUUUUACCCCGAAUGGAGGAGCAAUAACCCGGAAAAGUUCCAAACAGGAUACUGUAGUUGAUUCAACAUGUGAAUCAGAGCAUAUAGCAGCAAGCGAAGCAACGAAGGACGCGAUAUGGCUGAUUAACUUCAUCGUAUACCUUGGAGUUGUACCAGCUAUAAAGGAGCCUAUGGAGAUUUUCUAUGAUUGUGAGAGUGUGGUCACCUUAGCCAAGGAAGCAAGGGAUCAUGGUAGAUCCCGGCACAUCGAGAGAAAAUAUCACAUCAUAAGACACCAGAUAGAAUAAUGACAGCUCAUAAAAAAGAGGGUAUCGUCAAAGGAGAACCCCACAGAUCCCCUUAUGAAGGGACUAGGUGGUGUUAAGUACUUUCAGCAUGCGAGGAGCAUUAGGAUGAAGGACGAUAUUAGUUUCGAUAAUUAGAUAGCUAUUUAGAAACUUGUAAUAGAUAAAAUGUAAUUGACAAUUGAUGAUUAAAUAAAAGGUGUUUUGUUUAUAAGUAAAUUUACUAUCUUGUGUCAAUUGUUUAGUAUUGUUUCAUUUUGCAUGUUGUGACUUCCGGAAUAAAUAAAUUAUUCAAACUAUCCACAGUCAUAAUACUUUGGAAGUAGGUAUUGAGGCAAGACUGUCAUGAAUUUGGCGUGUAGAUUGCCUUUAGUGUUUAGGCAUAGCAAAGUUUACUACAACAUUCAUGAGUGCUCAUAAGGUCUGAUUAUUGGAUUAAACUGACGCUUACUUGAAUCACUUCAUGGAAUUUAUAAUGAGUGAUUGUGAGACGAUAGUAUCAUAUUGUCUUCAAACCAAUAGAUAUGGGUUAUUGACUAUGAGUUGGUUGUACAGUGAUAGUGCGAAACCACAUUAGUACCUUGAUGCCAUAAAACGUGCUAUUGUGUUUGAUUUAACGAGUAGUUAGUACAAACAUAUGAGUCGAAGUUUAUCUAUUCCUUUUAAUCCUUGGAGGAUUAAAAGCGAUAUGUUGGGCCCCUCGAUGAUUAUUUUUCAAACAAUUAGAAACAUACAUAUGAGAAAGUGGUUCCAAUGAAGUAUUAUUUGUAAAGAGUUAGAAACAUCAAAUAAUCAAACAAUUAGAAACAUCAACUAAUGGCAUUAAGAUGUCGACAUAAAAAGUUGUGUUGCAGCUAUAACUUGGGCAUAUGUAUGAAUAUAUGUAUCGAUUGUUGACAUGAGACAUGAUUUCUCAGGGGAUCAAGAUGGAGCAGUGACAGUGUAUCUUAAAGUAAGUGUUUCACAUUUUAAGCCCCGAUUCUAAGCAUUUACCAGUGACAGUGUAUCUUAAAGUAAGUGUUUCACAUUUUAAGCCCCGAUUCUAAGCAUUUACCAGAAUCCCAUGUUGAUGGUUCCUUUCUAUUUUCAGUUGGAUUACAGUUUUUUCCGUCUAUUCGCUCUUUACCCUAAUAUCGAUUCUUUCUUAGAUUCAUAAUGGUAAUUUAAACUUUUGAAGUUGAUGGACAUCUGAAAGUAUUUUUUUUCUUCAAUGUAUUUCUGUUAAUUUUGUAAGGUUUCUAAAAUCAGUUCAAUUGUAAUCAACUUUUAAUUAUUAUAUUUUAUUUAUUUUUAAUUAAUAUUUUUUUUUUCUAAGUUAUUUUAUCAUUAUGAAUUUUCUUCUUAUUUCAUUUAAUCAGUAAUUUAGAUUGUUUAAAUUUAUCAUUCUAUUUAAUAAAAUAUCUCUAUUUAUUUUAUAUCUUUAUUUUUGUGAUUAAGAAUUCUUUAAAUAUAACCUUUUAAAUGUUUUGAAUUAAAUACAUUAGCUAUCAACAAAAUUCAAUUUUUUUUUCUUUUUGUAUUUUGUUCGAAUACGUUAUUUAAUUUUGUAUUUAGACAUUUUGUUUAUUUUGUACUUAUAUACGGGCUAAUCUGGAACGAUAAUAUGCUAGUCCGAAUGGGUUUGNNNNNNNNNNNNNNNNNNNNNNNNNNNNNNNNNNNNNNNNNNNNNNNNNNNNNNNNNNNNNNNNNNNNNNNNNNNNNNNNNNNNNNNNNNNNNNNNNNNNNNNNNNNNNNNNNNNNNNNNNNNNNNNNNNNNNNNNNNNNNNNNNNNNNNNNNNNNNNNNNNNNNUAUUAAAUUUAUAAUAAUAAUAAUAAUAAUAAUAAUAAUAAUAAUAAUAAUAAUAAAACGUUAUAUAUUCUUAUAUUAAAAUAAAGUUAUAAUAAAUUUUACAAUAGAGUUAUUAUAAAUAAGAAAAUCGUUAUAUAUUUUCUAUUAAGAAAACUAUUAUAUAUAUUCUAUUAAAGUAAAGUUAAAUAAUUUUAUAAUUUUACAUUUUCCCUUUUUUUAUAUCGUUAUUUAAACAUUUUUUAUGUGAUCAUAUAUUAAAUAUAAAAAUAAACAUAUGGAAUUAAUGCGUAUAACAAAAAUAAAAAAACUCAUUAUAUGNNNNNNNNNNNNNNNNNNNNNNNNNNNNNNNNNNNNNNNNNNNNNNNNNNNNNNUAACCAUAAAAAAACUGAAAAAAAAACUAAAAAAAAUACAAAUCAUAAAAUCAAGCAUAGAUCUAUGUCUGGAAAAAAAUAAUUGGAAAGAAAAUGCAUCAUUAAAAUUGAUACAUUAUUUAAUUUUAAUUUUUUAUUUUGCAUCAUUAUGAUCAAUGAAUUAAUUUUCAUAAUCCAAUUUUUUGUUCUCACGGAUAUCAAUAUAUGCUCUAUUUUAUGAUUUGCAAUUAUUUUAGAUUUUUUUCAAUUAUUUUUUAGGUGUGCUUAUAAGUCUUCACUUUAAAAUGAGUUAGUAUCCGAUCCUGUUACUAUAUAUANNNNNNNNNNNNNNNNNNNNNNNNNNNNNNNNNNNNNNNNNNNNNNNNNNNNNNNNNNNNNNNNNNNNNNUAUAUAUAUAUAUAUAUAUAUAUAUAUAUAUAUAUAUAUAUAUCCGUUUCAACUUUAACCGCUAUCUAUAACAUCUAAAAAGCUGCUAAAGCCCUACUCGCCUCAAUUACAUCGAGCCUAGCUUUACGGGUCAAAACCAACCCCAUUAGGGGUAUGGAAAGAGAUGCUUCCUUGCUUCAGGGACUCUCAAGAACGAAUUGGGACUCAGACUUCCCUACUAUUACCCUUUUUCAAGCUGUAAAUGGGGAACUUGUUUUUGGAACUGCCUUUGAUCUUACGCUCGUAGCGACUAGGUGCGUACCCUUGAAACUAUAUCGGGGACGAAACUCUUCUUUUAACGCCCAAAGAUAGGCCUAUGCAGUCCUUUCUAAUGAAGAUGGUGCAUAGGCCUAUCAAAAUGCUGUUGUCGUCAUUUCUUCUCUUUGCAUCUUCCCUGACCCCUCGUCACUGCAUUCUGAUCAUGUCUCUUAGAGAGAGAAUCUUGUGAAGCUGAGAUGUACAAUCUGAGGGAUUCAUGUCUUUUUCAAUUGAAUCACUAGUCUACUUAUUCUCACACGAACAAAGGGUAGGGUGAGGGAAAAGAAAAGGGGGGAAGCAACUAAAUUGAAGGCUUCGCUCCCAGAUCGCUUCGUGAGCUCAUUUAGUAGACAGCGAGUGUGCGCCCCUUUAGAGAAGAGAUAGGGGCGAGUACUACACGAGCUCGUAAGUCAAGUACGGAACGAGCCUUGUCUACGAAGCAGAGCGACCUCGUCUUGCUUGCUUCUGGCGAAGCUUCUAGCACUGGAUAAUAGGCAUGGCAGGAAUACGACUUUUUAGGUCGACCACUACACUACACAGAAGCAAUAGCAAAGCCAUGCCGUAUAAAAGGCGAGCAGCCCUUAUAGCAAUAGCAAACAACCUACUUAUAGCCCUUCCCAAUUUCCAGUAGUAAACUUCCCAAGUUUAAGCAGGAUAACCCCCUCUCUAUUCUUCUCUUCAUGUGUGUGGGCUGCCUACCCCGUCCCGAAUAGACGAACAGGAACAAGCUGAAGAAGCGAGAGAGAUUUGAGAUUCCAUAAGUAACUCAAUGCUAAGAAAGAAGGGAUUGGAAGAAAAAAAUGAAAUGCGAACAACCGCGCUGGUUGUAAUAGAUCGACUUUCAUGCUAGUUCUUGCUCCAGCAUGAAAGUUCCAUUUCAGGGAAGGACGACGUACUAUGAUACUUUCUGUUUUGUCGAGCCUUGCUUUGGUCUCUGGUUUGNU